rnacentral:lncRNA from 1 species
CCGAGCCUCCCUCGGGCGAUGUGGUGAUCUUCACCUCGUUGCUGAUCUUCUCGAAGGUGGUGCCCAGCAUGUCGCCCUCGAUGAUCGAGUAGCAGUAGGUGAAGUUCUCCUUGUCCAGGGCCUCAACCUUUUGCUUCAUUGUCUUGUACUGACUGCCUAUCAAAGUAAGAAAAAAUAAUAUUCACGUUUAGAACUCGCCCGUUUCAACAUCACGAACAACGAUCUCGAUGGUGUUGAUCGGGCCAUUUAGGUUGUUCCAACUGCAAUCUGAUACGAUUGACUUAGUAGACAUGGCCUGAUUUCCCUCGAUUGGAGUCAAGUCACGUGAUCACUUGUGUAAAUCAAUGAUUAGAAACAUCUUUAAUUAACCAAGUUACAUAUCUAUCUUUUUUAAUGUUCAUUAUGAUGUUCCAUAAGGUUGAAAUAGCCUUGAUCCAGAGCGAUCCUAACACGGACGGACUAACCUUCGCCGAAAGUGAUCAACUUGACGGUCCCGGGACCUCCGUCACCCUCGAGGACUUCAACGCUCUUGAUGGCUUGCGGGAGCACCUUGGGGAUGAGGUUAUCGGCGUCGAGGACAGCGGCCUUGAACAUCUUGGCCGGAGGGAUUGGGGUCGUGAUCUCAGAGUCGUAACUGACGACACCCAUGAUUUGGAUCCGAAUGGAAUUGCCGAAAGAAAGAAGAGGGUGAUCGGGAAAGGCUGACUAGCAGUGAUGAAGUUGGUCUCUAGGACUUGGGAGUGAAGAGAAGAGGAUGAACUGAAGCUGACAUAUAUAGAGAGACCGAGUGUGAAGGGUUCUCGUCAUUGGAUAUUUUCUUAAGUGUGUUCGUUUGGUACAAAAUAAAUAAUUAAAUAAUUAUUUGUAUCAUUUGGUAUAAUUAUUUGAUGAGAAAGUUUUGCAUUAUUGACAAUAAUUUAUAUAUAAAUAUUUUUUAUUCGUUUAUUUUUGUAAUUUAUAUAAAAAAAAUAUUUUUUUUACGAAACAAAUGAAGCUUAAUAAAAAAAUCUUAAUCGGUCUGUGGGUUGUUCAAUCAUGACAUGGAGGGGAGCGUGUGACGACAAAGUCAGUUCUUCUUACCGUUCGUGGCCCGGCUUUCGGUCGUCGGCUCGGCUCGCCUUGCGUUUUGGAAACGGCAUCUUCUCUCUCUCUCUCUUUCCUUCUCUCGCCCGCUCUUCCCUGCCCCGCCCCCCGGGCUUUGCUGUGGUCGCGACCAGAUGGAACUUUGACCGUGGAUUAGAUCGUUCGUUCGGUGGUGUUGGUGUCGAGGGUCGUUUGUCUUGUCCGUGCACAAAUUCCUUUCUUUCUUUUUUUUUUUUUUUGCUUUUUUUUUCUUUAUUCGAUGAGGUCGUCGUUCGAUGAGGUCGACCUUGACCUCGCCGGUUGCCAUGGUCCGUCGACUAGAGGAAGAAGAUGAGAAGAAAAAAAUAAAAAUAAAAAUAAAAAUUCAAAAAAAUUACAAUAUUAUUAGAAGUUGUCCACGUCAUCGUGUUUAGUCAGCAAAAUCCGGUCAAAAUUGACCGGAAAUGACUGAAUUGGUAUAAAGUAAAAAUAUUUAGGACUAAAUCAGCACAAAAACAAAAUGUUUAGAACUUUUUAGGCAUUUUUCCCCUAAAAUGGGUAUUACAAGUUUACGAAAGGUACGAACUCAAAAGUCUCCCAAUAAUACUUAAAUUCUCUUGUAGUAGUUAUAUCUAUCUAAUCUUCAAUUAAAAAAGAAAAAUUUCAGUAAAAUUCCUUAAAAACACAUGUAUAAAAUCUUGUUAUCUUCUAUUAAUGCAGGUUUUAAUCAUAUUGUUUCACCAACCUUCUCAGCGAAUUAGUCCCUUUUUUUAGCAUAACUAAUCUUGGGAUGUCACAUUUUAUUGCUAUAACUUGGGGCUUUGAUUUAGGAACUCCAAUAAUCAUUAAAUCUAUCCAUGGAGAGCGCCCGCUAAAAAAAUCUGACUGCUUUGCAUAACCUAGUUUGGUUCAACACCUUUCCUCCAGUAACUUUCCUGACAUAGUAAAAUCUUACUUAUGUACUUGUAAAAUCCGAACCAAGUUUCUGUAUAGAUUAAACAUGAACAUUUGCACACUUAAAUGAAUUCUUUAAAUCCCUGGGUUAAAUUUUGAUAUUAUCAUAAUCCUUUAUUUUCCAAGUAGUUUCUCCAUUUUCGACAAUGACAAACCUAUAACAUUCCUUCAAUGAGAGUGAGCUAUGCACAUAAGCAUGCAUAUUCUGCAGAACUAUUUGAAUGUAAAACCAGAGAUGAUUCAUGCAUGCUUCUACAUGUGACAUUUUAAUAGACCAUACAAAUAUGUCUGCAAAACAUAAUAAACUCUCCUUAAUAUGUACACAUAGUGUGAUACUCCCCCUGAGUAUGUGCUUCUCCCCCUUCUUGUUUCUUAAAAAAGCAAGAACAUCAUAUGCCCAGGGAUGAAAACCAUAUAAGCAAAAGCAUCCAUUUAUUUAUAUACAAGAGUGUUCCACAAAGCAUAUUCUGGAAAAAUUAAUAUAAAGGAAAGUGAACAUUAACCAAAAGGAUCACAAACACCGAUUUCAUCCAUCAAGCUAGAAACGUAUUGUUAUCAAGAGGUUUAUUCAAAAUAUGAGCGAAUUGCAGAUCGAUGUUAACAAAUCCUUUUCAUUAAUUCAUGUUGUGCUGUGGCUGCCAUAAUUAAAUAAAUAAAUAAAAGAAUCAUAUGAAGGAGUCUCUCUUCUUGAAGUUUGACCUAGUUCAGAGCUCCUCGAAAUGGAAGCCACCCCCGUUAAUUAGCACAACUCAUUGUUUAGAGUUAAAUCUUUUAUUAGAAAUCCAAAAUUUAGGCAAUUAAAUACUUGGCCAAUUUUUAAGACAGUGUGACUCUAAAAAUUGUGCUCAUAUUCAACUGAAACACAAUUAGUAAAGAAAGACUUACCGAGUGCUUAACAAUGUCGCAAUUACACUUAUCUUCAAAUCCUUACAUUAAGGAUGACACAUCCUUAUAUUUCAAUAAGGGCCAUUGACUUAACUAAGAAAUUUUAUCUGUUGAAUACUUGAAACACAGAAAUCUGACUAAUUGGAGUAUGAAUUACUGAAACUACAACAACAAUUGAGUAGAAAUGUAAAAGAGACUUAGGGUUGAUGCCUGAUUAUAUAUCGAAAUACCAUGGGUUUGACAUAUAGACCUCCUUGUCAAAGCCCUGUAUGCUAUUGGAAAUAUGUAUACGUAUUAGGCGCAUUCUGUGGGCUACUACAUGGUGCACUUGUUUUAUAUUUAAAGUUUCAAUGGGUUAGUUUUGUCUACUGGUAAUAUUUUCCUCCAAUCAUACUUUCAAUUAAUAGGUCAAAGAUUAUGGACAUUAUCAAUACGAAAUUUAAUCAAAAUCAAAUACGAGUGAUGUUAAUAUUUGUGUAAUCCAUCAAUGAAAGUUAUGGCUAAAAAGAGUUCAUCCAGCUAGAGCGUUACAUGUGUAAAUAGAGAUAAAAUAAAUUUAGAAUUCUAUCCGUGAACUUUUAUAUCAUUGACUACGGUUGCUAACAAGCAUUUUCAUUGCAAAAUUUGACAACAUUUUUCGAUGGCUUUUGGAUUAUCACAUAAUUAUGUCGUGAUUCAGUUUUAUCAUGUUCAGAUUUAGUUUUUUUACAUUUAUUUGAAUCUAAGUUACAAUUAUUGCACGUGAUGGUUGACACUUAAGGGCCUGCAUGGUUGGCACUUAUUUCUGUUCCCAGGAACAGAAAUUUCUGUUUUUUUGUUCCUGGGAACAAAAAAGGAACAGAAACGCGUUUGUGUGCGUUUCNNNNNNNNNNNNNNNNNNNNNNNNNNNNNNNNNNNNNNNNNNNNNNNNNNNNNNNNNNNNNNNNNNNNNNNNNNNNNNNNNNNNNNNNNNNNNNNNNNNNNNNNNNNNNNNNNNNNNNNNNNNNNNNNNNNNNNNNNNNNNNNNNNNNNNNNNNNNNNNNNNNNNNNNNNNNNNNNNNNNNNNNNNNNNNNNNNNNNNNNNNNNNNNNNNNNNNNNNNNNNNNNNNNNNNNNNNNNNNNNNNNNNNNNNNNNNNNNNNNNNNNNNNNNNNNNNNNNNNNNNNNNNNNNNNNNNNNNNNNNNNNNNNNNNNNNNNNNNNNNNNNNNNNNNNNNNNNNNNNNNNNNNNNNNNNNNNNNNNNNNNNNNNNNNNNNNNNNNNNNNNNNNNNNNNNNNNNNNNNNNNNNNNNNNNNNNNNNNNNNNNNNNNNNNNNNNNNNNNNNNNNNNNNNNNNNNNNNNNNNNNNNNNNNNNNNNNNNNNNNNNNNNAAUAAAAAAAUUAUACAAAUUUACCAAACAUGUUUCUGUUUAUUUUUUAUUCUCGGAACAAGUUUACCAAACGCGUAUUUUUGUUCAAAAAUUGUUCCCCGGAACAGAAAUACUUUUUUCUAUUUCUGUUCCUGGAACAAUUUUUAAACAGAAACACAACCAAACGCGCCCUAAAUUUCGCUGUUUUUCUUCCUCUUCUUUUGUCCCCGCGCGGCCCAAUCUCGUUUUUCCUUUCGGCCCGCCCGCGCCCCAGCUGUCUUCCUUGUCCUGUCUUCGCGCGCAAACCUGCAGAGGAGAGACAGCAGCAGCAGCAGCACAGCAGCAGCACGCCAGCAGGGGGAGCAGGAGCAGAGUAGAAAGCACGCGAGCAACAGGCGGACCGGCGGAAAGAAAAGACAGGGGGAAGCAAGGGGCAGAAAGAAAGUGGAGCAACCAGAGAAAGAAAAACAGAGGGAGAGAGCUCGAGAGGGAGGGAGAGAACCGGAGAGGAGGGGAGUCUCCGGCACUGUCGCCGCCGCCGCCGACGCUCGCUGCCGCCUCCCACACCUCUCCAGCAACCGCCAUCCCCGACGACCACCGCCGUGUUGCCUCCCCCGCCGUCGCCUGCUGCUGCGUUUUCGUCACCAGCUGCCGCGUUCGCCGUCGCCCGCCGCUGCCUUUCCGCCACCGUGCCGUCACCCGCUGCGUCCCAACCGUCGCCGUCAAGCCCGUCGCCGCCGCCGCCGUCCGUACGCCUAGCGACGCCUCAGCCGCAAGCAAGGAGAGGGACGUCCAUCGGGUCGCAGCCGGGUAGGAUUUUGAUCUUCGGGCAGGCCGCGUCUGGGCCGAAGCAAGGCCUUUGGGCCGGUUUAAUAUUAGUUUUUCCUUUUGUGUCGGGCUGGUUUAAUAUUAGUCUUUCCUUUUGUGUUGGGCCGGGCUUAGUUUACUUAGGUUUCUUUUUUAGGUGGACUCAGUUUUGAGCUGGACUGGGCCCGUCGUUCAGGCCCAGUCCUGUUGGGGCCCUGCCGAAUUUGGCCCUCCCCCGACCAGGCCGAACCCGGGUCGGUCAGACCGGACCCGACCCGGUUCGCCCAUUUUUUUAAAAUUUAUUUUAUUUUUUAAAAAUAAUUAAAAAUGUAAAAAUUUCGAAAAUUUAAAAAAUGUUGGGUUUAGUUAGGAAUUAUCAUGUCAACAUAAUUAAGCUUUUAUUUUCUUGUACCUUGAUUAUAUUGCAUGUUUAAUUAGCAUAUUUGAUUAUGUUUGUGGAUGUUUAAUUGCACAUGUUUAAUUUUACUGCAAUUAAGAUUUUGGUAGCUAUUAUUGUUAUUCUAAUGAUUGUACAUUUAUACAAUUACAUUAUAUGUUAGUGGAUAUGUGUAAAAUCAAUCCACAUUGCCUGACAAAAAUCAUUUCUUUUUAAAAUGAACAAUAUUAAGUAUUGAAAAGACACUAAUUGGUUAAUUAGUAUAAUCAUAUUCCCGACCCUAGAUUCUUUAGUUGGUAAGAAGUGUGGUAUACUCUCAUGUCUCACUUGGUUUUUAACCGACCCCAAUAUAGCUUACUCUAAUAGGUUAGUGGCGACUCUCUUUUGCAAAAUUCUUAAAAAUACCCAAAUGUCACGUGAGAUAAAGCUUAUGAGAGCCUAUGCCUAAUCAUAGGCUUUAGAUUCGUUGUUUAGGCAAUACCCUUAAACCUAUUCUUUCCCCCUGAUGGUAGGUCACGACAAUGAUCUAAGCUCCACCAAUAUUCUUACAUGACAUUUUCUGCUUGUCAAGCAUGUGACUUUAACGAUGUUGUAAAUUAAAUCAAUUACACGUUAAAAGUUUCAGUCAAUAAUUGACACAAAUAGUAGUAGUGGACCGACCGAAUAACAUUAGAUUGGCAAUGCAAAAUCUUAUUUCAAUAGAUCAAUAGCAUAACUACAGCAAAUAUCAAACUUUAGGACCGUGAAUGAAAUUUCUCGGUGUUAAAAAAUAAUUUUCCUUCUCUUGUCACGUCCACAGAAAAUCUUUUAGCACCACCACUACAAAAAAGGAUCGUGGUUUUCUUCCAUCACAAAUUUGAUUGGCAAGUUAUCAAAAUUUGAAGAAUCAUCCUAGAGACCGAUUCAAGGACAGCAGUUGAUCUACUAGUUGGCAAGAUUACAGAGGCGUUGAGGUCAGAUUGGGUGGUGAAAACCAACACAGCCCGUGAAGGCAAAACGUGCGACGAUUAAUAAGCCAAUGCAGCGUUCUUUCAGAGACUAGAUUUAGUUAUUCACUUAAGUUUAUCUACGGGGCUUCAAUUUGUACUUUUUAGGAGAUAAAAGUGGGUGUUAGGAGGCCUGGAGUUGCAUAUGAGACGUGUUAGAAAUUAAACCAAAUUAAUAGAUGUCCUCAAUCGACUACGAGUUGCUGAUGUCAAUGGAGAAGUUACUGAUAUUAAUGGUUGUCAAUGUUGAUAUUCCAUAAUUUGAUACUGAUGAUUUUGUUUGGUGAAUUGAUACGGAUGACUGUCCGAUGCUUGAGUUAAUUAGAUUCUUUAUUGUAGCGUUGUUUUUGAGAAGUCUAUUCGUAUUUUUAUUUCAUGUCUGUUCAUGUUUCUAAGUGUAAUCAAUGUUUUGUAAGUUCUUAGGAUUUUAUCACCUCAGAUUAGCUAUAUUUAUGAGUAAUUUAGUUUAAGAGUUAUGUGUGAAGCGUAUAAAAGUGGAGUCUUGUAAUUGUUUUUGAUAAGGUGAAAAAAAGGUGAAAUAAACAAAAAGGAUAUCUGUCUCCUUCUCUUUUUUGUGUUGUGUUAGUGAGUGUUUCAGCUUUAAAUUAUCCCAUCAAGAUGUAGCCUGUAUUUGUCUGUUACAAAAACUUGAAAUUUUCUAGUUUUGAUGCCAUAUGAAAUUAUGAAGGAGCGCUAUUAGCUAUUAUAGAAGUUUAGAUAAUUAGAUGGAUGCAUUAUUCGAUACUUAAUUGAUAUAACGUCUCUUUCACGACCCAUGUUCCUUUUCAACAACUAGAUUACUUCAACAGCUUGGCCUCAAUGAAAGGAGAGCUGUCUACAGAAGUGGAGGAUGAUGGAAUGAACAACUCGAUCGCGGAGGAGGUAAAGAAGGAUGAAAGAGGACCUUUAAUGGAAGUGUCAAAGGAUGAAAGGGAUUCUGAAGAAGAAAUCUGGAGAGGUCGACGGGAGAUAAUGAAUAAUGCAUUGGCGGCUUCCGCGGGGGACAAGAUCCGGCAAAAGCUUACGAAUAUGCUCGAAUACUGGCGCAUGUCAUCAAAGGCGGCAAGGUUGACGAGUUCCUUUCCAUGAUCAAUGUAAAUGAUCCAUUGUUGUGGGACAUCAAUUGGUCUGCCGUUUUGAAUUCCCGAUUGGAAUGGAACGAAUCACUGCUCCACAGGGCAGCAGCAAACGAGAACGACGACAUCCUAAGGCUUCUGGUUGAUUAUGUUGGUGACCACCUCAUAACCGCCCAAGAUGAUUGCAGAUAUACCCCACUCCACUGGGUCGCUCGGUUGGGGGGAUCUACUGGAGCUGUAGAGAUGUUGAUUCACCGGGCAAGAGACCUCCCCAACGUCGAGGACAAGAACCUCCUCUUGAGGAUGAAGAGCAACCGUGGAAAAACCGCUUUGCACUUGGCCGUGUGCUCUCAACAUGCCAACUUGGUGCGCUAUUUGUUGAGCGAAGAUUUGGAGCCCGUGUACUGGAAGAAUGCAAGUGAGAAAUCUCCCCUGUACCUAGCCCUCGAGAUUAAUGACUCCACAAUACAUGAGACUUUAUUUUCACUCUCGUUGGAACCGUCAAGGAUAGAAGGCUUGCCGCCCAUUCUUGGUGCCAUUGUACUUGGACGACACGGUACGUACCUAAAUCUGCUUAUGUGGAAAUAUAUUUAUCUAUUUCUGGACCGACUCGUCCCAAAUUUGUGCAAUAACCUUUUGCUCUUACCAGAACCUUUUACCGGUUUUUACUUAAAAUUCCCUACCCUGCUUGUUAAAGCAGUUGGAUACCCAUCGGUUUAGCCGCGCAUAAUAAACAAAUUAUUCACAUUAGAGCAUAAUAGAUUGGCUUAAAUAUUACAAAUACAACCAUUUCACUAGAAACUCGUGUUAUCGAUAUUUGAUUAGAAAAGCUAUAAAGUGCAAAUAUUUAAGAUUGAUGACCAUGAAAAUCUGGUAUCUAACAAUGAUGCCAUUUCUUAAGCGACUUAGAGCCAUGAACCAAAAUGAACAAAUGAAAGUUUAGGGCAGGAAUUAUAAACUGGUAGCAAACCUGUAGGCUGCGCAGGCGUGAUUUUUUCAUUGGAAAAAGAGGAGGUGAAGGUUCCGUCACUCUCAACAAAUUGAUGGAACAUCAUAAACCGUGAAUUUGUUUGUGACCAACAGUCAAUAGGUUUUUAAGAAAUUAACAAAAGUGGAUCUAAAUAAAGAAACAAAUUUUUGACUUUUUUUUAAAAAUGAAUACAGUUAUCAUAAACUUUGCACAAAAAGCCGAUAUCGUAGUCUAGCCUAAAUUACCUUGACCAUUAAAAAUAUUGAGUUAAAAUUCAUCAGACACGCGAUAAUCAAUUAUGCGGAAUUUUUUGGCUGCUAAUGCCAUGUAUCCCAAGUUUACUACUUGAUAAGCAUAGCUAACGUUCAUUGAUCAUCAGAUUGGUAGAUGGCAUUCAAGUGUUACAGUCAUAUCAAAUAGAGAGAAUUGUCCAAAAAGUGCUAGACUUAUUAUAUGAUUGUCGAUUCAGUUAUAAACAUGUUAAUUGUGUCAAUUUAACCUCUAUUUUAGUCCUAAACUUUUAAAAGAUUUGCCAACUUAGUCCUUCUAAUCAAUUUCUACUGGAAAUCAAUUUAUGCUGGAAAUUGCCGACAUGGCGGUCUAGUCAAAGUUAGCCAUCCUACAUGAUGUUGAUCGCCUAUGUGGCUUUUUUACAAUAUAUAUAUUAUUUUUUUAAUUUUUUGCAUUUUUUUCCUUUUCUUUUUUUUUAAUCCUUUUUCUCCCUCUGCCAGCCUCAGGCGAGGGCUGCCCUCUGACCCUUGCGUAGAGCAACCCUUGCCCUUGCUCGACCUCCACUAGGUGUCAACUGUUGAUGGUUAGAGAAGGGAAAAAGGAAAAAAUGAAAUUAGAAAACAAAAUGAAAAGAAAAAGACAAAGGAAAGGAAAGGAAAAAGGAAAAAAAAAUUAGAAAACUAAAAAAAUUGCAAAAAUUAUCCAUGUUAGCGUUGACUAUGCCAUGUAGGACAAUCAAUACUACUAGACCGCCAUGCCAAUGAUUUCCAACAAAAUUGGCUAGAAUGACUAAAAUAACAAAUUGUUAAAAGAUUUAUAACUAAAUUGGCAAGUUAUUAAACAUGGAAGGCUUCGCAGCUAUCCAGAAGAGAGCCUUACUCUAUAGGGGUGCUAACGCUUUACUAAGGUAUAGGAGAAGGGGCGGUUGGCUUAGUAAAGAGAGUAUAAAGUUCCACUUUGUGAAUAGUGCCUCGGCUCGGUUGAGUAAUGUAGUUCGCAAUUGUUAUGACUAAAUUGGCAUAAUUGAAAUAUUUAAGACUAAAUUAAUCAUCAUACAAUAAAUUCAAGACUUUUUGGACAAUUUUCCCUAUCAAGUAUAAUUCCAACCCUAGAUGCAGUAACUUUAUUUGUAUCCUGUCCCAAUUUAUUAAUCCGAGCACAUGUUAUUAUUUACAUUGCACGACGUAACAUGUUUGAGGCUGUCUAUUUAAACUGAACAUGCAAAACAAUUUCAAAUAGACAUUAAGUGAAAAUGCGUAACAAUGUAUUGUGUGAUGCAAAUAAUAAAUUAGCAUACCCAAUAAAUGUAGGUGUCUAAACUUACGUCGCACUCGUUGAAUAGAUUAUAGAAGUCGACUUGCACACAUAACGUUCAUAAUCCAUUUAUAAAUGGCUUAACUUAUUUGCGAUAAUACAAUUAAACCUAAUCCUACCAUAUGUAACCACGUUUCAUGUAGUGAACAUGUCUGUAGAAGGGCUGUUUCAUAGUUUGUCAGCUCAUAAUUCUAAUAAGUACUUUAGAAACUAUACAAAAGAUCCCAUUGAAAUUGGAUUUACUAUAUAUUUCUUAUUCUUACUGUCCAAUAUAUAAAAAUCCUUUUAUGAAGUACUACUAAUUGAAAUCUCAUAAUAAUAGUUCAUUUUAUUCCUCAUUGAAUGUAAAAGUAGAUGACAUUGUGGAAUGAAUCGAGCAUUGCCAUGGGCUUUUGUAGAGAGGCACUUUAAUUAGGCUCUCAUGAUAGGUAAGGUUCAUAUCAAUUAAAUAAGGUAAGGUUAUUUCUUUAAAUCUAGUAGUAUUCUUUCACUUGGGAAAAUUAUCCAAAAAGUCCUAAGCCUAUUGCACUUUUGCCAAUUCAAUCCUAAAUCAUUCAAUUUUGUCAAUUCAGUGCUAACCAUUUUCACUUCUUGCCAAAUGAGUGUAUUCCGCUAAUUUUGACCAGAAUUCAUUGAUGUGGAUAAUUUUUAUUAAUAUUUUAAUCAUUUUUUAAAAAAAUUAUACUUUUUUCUUUUUUUCUUUCUUUAUUCCCCCCUCUCUUCUUCCUUUUAUCAAUGGCUAGCUACUAACCACCAGUGAUGGCCAACUACCGGCCAUGGCUAGGUGAGUUGACCUUGCCCGCCGUAAGUGAUGCCUGGCCGGGCAAGGCCAAGCCCCAACAAGGGUCGGCCUCACCUAGGUUAGGCGAGACCAACCCUCGCCCAAACUAGGUGAGAUCGCCUAGGCGAGGGUGAGCCCCUUGUUCGACCAUGUCUUACUGAGGCAUGCGAGGCUAGCUAGCUCGGCCAUAGUUGGUGGCUGGCACAAAAGGAAGAAGAAAGGGAAAAAAAAUUUAAAAAAAAUAAAAAAAUAUUUUUAAGAGUUUACAUUAGUGUCAACCGUCUUACAAGACACCGCUAGUGUCCACAUCAGCGAAUUCCUAUCAAAAUUAGCCGGAUGGACUCAAUUACCAAGAAGUAAAAAGGUUUAUGACUGAAUUGACAAAAUUAAAGAGUUUAUGACUGAAUUGAUAUAAGUGCAAUAGAUUUAGAACUUUUGGGAAAUUUUCACUCUUUCACUAAUGUAUCUAGAAUGUAACUAGUUACCCAUAUUGAAAUUUGUGGCCUGAAUUGCUCCGUCAAUUUCAAGAAUGGUGGCAUCCAUCAUGCGAGCACCUUUUUUUGUAUGUGUAAAAUUGAAGUAUGUUUUUUAUUAUAAAUUAUUGGUGAAAUAUUAUUCUAUUUCAUAAAAAAAUUCUUCUUUUGAAUAGAAUAAAUGCAAAAUUCUUAAUUCAUGUUAUAUAUUAAUGUAAAAUAUAGGGGGCUCGAUGAUAGUUAAAAAAUUCCUAAUUAUUGUUGUUAUAACUCAUGAAAUUUGUAUAUGUACUUAACAAUAUUAUUAGAGUAUAUUUUAUAGGAAGUAUUAUAGAAAUGUAAGAAUUUUCAAUAAUUGCUCAUUUGCAGUUUUUGAAACUCAUUAGAACUAAUUUCAAUAAAACUAAUGCCUCUUUUGUUGAACAAAAGUCAUGGUAUAAGAGGCAAACAUAAAUCCUAAUUUGAAGCAAAAUAAAUGGAAAGUGGAAGAAACACUCUUUGUGAGGAAAAUAAUCAAUCCCUUACAAAUUAGAGCCCUAUAAAUCACUUUUAGAGACAAUUCUUAAAGAAAAAAUCAUUAUAUAUUUAUGUAGAUGUUACAAUAGUCUAGAUUAAUUUGCAAAGUUCACUGAACUUUUAGUAUUAUGGAUGUAAUUUUAUGGCGGUGAAAUGAGACUCAUUUUGUUUUGUGUUGUGUCAUCACAGCUUAAAUAUGUGGUCGUUAUAGCUCCGAUAUAUAUGACUCCAUGCAAUGCACAGACAAGAUAGAACAUAUAAUGUGAUUUAUUGAGUAAAAAUAUCUUUCCCAGAAUCACUAAAAUUUCACAAAAUAUAUUUGGUCCAUUCACAAGAUAUAAUGGGAUUGAGUAGCACAAUCCCCAAGGAUGAGGUUAUCUCUAAAUCACUCUCGCCUGUCUUUGAAGUCCAAUGGCCACCCACAAUCCUCAAACACCGUUGGAAUAUUCUCAAACAAUUGAAGCACCUCUCUCACAUUAUUGAACCUCUUUACUAGCACCUCCAAAUUUUCAUAGUUGGGGCCAAAAAAAAAUUCCUUUUGGUGGAGCCUUUUCCUUUCUGUAUUUUGUGAUUUAUAAGCUCUACUAUCUUAGAAAUAGAUUAUGGUCACAAAUUUUACUUAGAUUUUACUCACAAGUUUGGUAAAUACAUAAUCUCUUAAUUGAGCUCAAUAAGUGCCGUAUACCUUUACGAAGAAGAUGACAUUCAAUCUAGAGAGGGUGGAACAAUUUUAAGGGGGAUUUCGGUAGGGCGUUGUGGAGGCUAUUGCAAUGUUCUUAACAAUUAAAUAAGUCUGCUUGAUACUUGCUAGAAUUCGACGGACAUAAUAUGAAAAGAUCAUUUUCCUUUUCUUGAUCUUGCCCUAGCUUGCAUUACGUCUGCCGACUCUAUAGAUACUUCAUGUCGUGGAAAUGCCAUAUAAAUUGCUAUGUCAUUUAGCAAGAUUUUUAUAGUCAAAUCUUAAGUUCCUGUCGAUGUCAUUUAACUAGUUUUGGUAUUGCAAUCUAAUCUGUUAUUGUCGACUAUCAAUACUAGUAGUGAUUAAGGCACGUCAAAGAUGUCCUUACUCCAAAAUGGGUUUAAAUAUAUCGAGACCAACCAAGCUCCAACCAUCCUAAUUUGGAGCUUCUGAUCCCAGAUUUAUUCAACCUGAUACUCAAGAAAAACAUGAAGCUAUUCGCAUUGACCGACUCCACCGGGGGCAAUGUAUUCCAUUUAGCAGCUUACCUGAAUCAGGCCUGGGUAUUCGAAUUCUUACAACCAGAAACUAUAUAUUUGAUCCGAGCAAGGGACAUGAAUGGAGAUCUCCCCAUUCAUAUUGCGAGCAAGAUGGGUUAUGUUGAACAUAUCAAGAAGCUGAGGAAAGUAUCAAAUUUGCGAAAUGGGCAAGGGCAAACUGUUCUUCAUGUUGCCGCAAAAUAUGGGAGAGUCUCCGUAGUGAGAUAUAUACUCAGUGAUCCAGAUCUAGGGGAGCUGUUAAAUAAACAAGAUUUUGAUGGAAAUACAGCUUUGCACUUGGCUGCGAUGCAUUCACAGCCCGCUGCUUUGAUUCAUCUUGUGCGGACUAACGGAAUUCAACUCAGCAUUCUCAACAACAAAUGCUUGUUGGCUGUUGACAUUGCUGGACGACGCGUAGCAAUGGGGUAUGAUAUUCGGCAGGUAGGUAACAUGAACAGUCACUAUUUUAUUUAUUAACUUACUGGAGAUUUCGUAGACUAAUGCAUUAGUUAAGGCAGAUCUUGUAUUCAAAUCAUUAUGUCUCCCAGCCAACUAGAUAGGAGAAGUAUUGAUCAAAUCUCUAGAAUAACCAAGACUCCUCUCGGAUAAAUGUUUUGCAAGUCCCUAAUUUAGUCUUGAUAGGAGGUAAUUAAAAUUUGUGAUCAUGAAUUUCUCUGCAGUUAGAAACAAGUAACGUGUCUUUCAUAACACGGAGAUAACAAUUUAUAUAUUUCGUUUAAUUGAGCCUCUGAAUACAGUCAUGAAUAAAAAGGCAGGGUUUGUCAAGGUUGCAUUCUGUUUUUCAUAAAAAGCCAGGGGUCAAUGUGGCAAAUUUGAACGCUCCAAAUGUAACACAAUCUCAUAACAUUAUCAUUUUGUCGACCUAUGAAAUGAUUGCCCGCAUAGAUUCCAUUCAUGCCUCUUUUUUCGUCUAAAACGAACUUGGCAAUUUUGUGCUAAUUCUUCAAAAAGAGCAGAAACUGCAUCUUUAGAAGCAAACGUUUCCAGAGUUCAUUCCCGUUAUAAAUAUGGUAUAAGUUUGUUCUUAUUUUCCUUUUUACAUGCUUCCGAUCUCAGCACUUGGCAUACCUGGCGUUGCUUUGCUCGCUCGCGGAAGAAGGUCCACUUGAAAACCAAGAGUUACUCCUAGUUAGAGCGGAAGCUCGAGAUGAAGAGUUAUCAGUAGUCCGCUCGCGCAAAAGCAUGCCGAGAAGGGACAUCAUCAAGGAUCACAUCAAUUCCCGUAUGGUGGUGGCAACGCUUGUGGCCACAGUGACUUUCGCAGUUGGUUUUGCAGUUCCUGGAGGAUUUAACAGCUCAGACACAGCCUCCAAAGAUGACCGGGGCAUGGCUAUGAUGCUGGACACAGAAUGUUCCAGGCUUUCGCGAUUUGCAACACCAUCGCGAUGUUCUGCUCAAUGACUGUGGUCGUCAACCUCAUCUGGGCGCAGGUAGUUGAUGUCAACGUUGCAGUCGCUGCAUUUCAGCGCACAACGCUACCGCUACAAAUUGCACUCCCGGCGAUGUCCACCGCUUUCUUAACUGGUGUCACCUUGACCAUUGGCAAACUCCCGUGGCUUGCUAACACCAUAUUUUAUUUGGGACUCGUUUUCCUCCUCAUUAUCUCAUUUGCUAACUUGUUCGGGGAGCCUUUCUUCUUUAAAAUCCUCGGUCAUCCUCUCCGUCGACUAACAUUCUGGCUUAUUCUCGCUUGCAUUUAUUUGUGGAGAGUUGAGACGUACAUUUAUGAUGACAAUGACGCGGAAGAUAACAGAAGGAGAAGAAGACCUUCGCUAGUCCGCCUGUGGAUGUUGCCGGUGAAACGAGGACCGAUGACUCGGCGAAAGCAAAAUGUGAGGAUGCGUUACAUCCUCCAAGUCACUGAUUUGAAUUGAUCAUUCCAUAUUAUCUGUAAUAUGUAGUAGUAAUAUAUGUUUUCCUUGGUGAGUGUGACUCACUCUACGGUUGCUUUCCUUUAUGUCAGAUCAAAGGUGAUUGUUAAUGUAUGUAAGCUAAACCACGUGUUCCUCUAAUAACUUAACUUAUUAGAAUUGUUGGAUAUAAUUCCAUCAAAUUUCAUAUGUUAUUAAAGCAGAGGUUCUAAGUUCAAACAUUUUCAGGUCCUAUUUGCUUCAUCUAUUAUAUGUUCUCAUGUUUCAAUAUUAGAUCAAUUCAAGUUUAUGAGUGAAGAUGAGUAUAAAAGUAUUUGUAUUAAAGUAUUUGAAUUAAACAUCGCAUCCGUCUAAUAAUUUACAUUUUUAGAAUAAUUAAUUGUAGUUCCCGAAAUUUCAAAGUGAUACACACUUCAUGUAAAUUAAAUGGAUGAAUGGCUCAUUUCACCCGUUUCAUUGCCUUGGAAUCAAAUUGUUAACUUUGAACAUGUGGAAGCUCGUGGGUCAAUGAAAUCACUCGUCUAGAGUGGCAAUGUCCGAUUUACUUUGAACCAGUCCAAUUUGCGGCACUCUCGAGUCACGAAAUCUUACCUGUCUGGUGUGCAAAGAAAAUAAUUCUCAAAUUCUCAUCGCCUACUCUCUGAGUCGAGAGUUGGGUGAAGAAAACCGGAACAAAAUAAUUCUCUUCACUACUCACAAAAAAAAAAAAAUAGAAUCGAACCCCGAACUCAUUUCCAUUUACACCCCUUUCAUUUCCCCACUUCUCCCUCCUAGGCGACCAAUUUCUGUGCAUGCAAAUGAGUUUUGGUCUUUGAUUCGUGCCGAGGUAUAAUCUAGUGAGCAGCGGGCACAGAAGUCUAGUCAAGGGACGAGAUAAAAAGGAAUUGCAGUACGCAACUCAAGGAGAAUUGUGGAAAAGUUUGGAUAUGUGAUUUUCCUCCUCCGAUCUCUGAUUUUUAUUUCAAAGCCGGUUGGUAUUGACACGUAGAAUAUAACUCUAAAGUGAUUCUGGACCUAUUUAUUUUGAAAGUAGAUAAUUACAAAAAAUGAAAAGGAUCCCAUUGUACAAAUAAUCGAUUUAAUUUUAAACAUCUUGACGAUUUGCCAGUAUAGUCAUUCUGACCAAUUAUGACCGAAAAUCAUUGACGUAGAUGCUAGCCAUCCUAUCGCACAUGACCAGUAUUGAGGUGGACAAUUUUUGUAAUUUAAAACAAAAUUCUCAUUUUUUUUUCUUUUUUUCAUGUUUUCAUUUUCUUCAUUUUCCUUUCUUAUAUUUUCCUUUUUAUUUUUUUCUUAUUCCCCUUCGCCAGCCAUUGGCCGGUCCAUGGCUUCGGUGAUUGAUAGUAAGGGCCCAAUGCCCUCGCCAGCGAUUGCAAGGGCUGAUGGAUUUGCUGGGGCCACAGACUAAUGGAGGGACAAAGGAAGAAAAAAAAAGAAUGACAGAAAAGAAACUAAAAAAAGGAAAAAAAAAAGUUUUGAAAUAAUUGCAAAAAUUAUCCACAUUAACAUCCGCGCCCAGAUCGGCGAGGCCAAUCUUGUCAUGGGCUGGCCUAGAUCUGGGUGAAGCCGCCUCGCGUGCGGCUCCGAGGCCUCACUUGUGGCCAAAAGAAUGAAGAAGAGAAAAAAAAUAAAAGGAAAAAUAAAGAAAAUUAUUAAAAAAUUAUUAAAAAAUUAUUAAAAAUUGCCACGUUAGCAUUGACCGAAUGACUAUCGUCCACAUCAACGCUAGCCGACCAAAAUUGGCCGAAUAGAUUGAAUUAACACAAUCACGAAAAGUUUAUAACUGAAUUAGCACAAUUGUUAUGAAUUUACGACUUUUUUGGUAAUUCUCCCAAUUUAUUUGUUAUCUCCAUUUUUAGAUUGUGACAUGUGUCCAUUCAAUUUUAGUCCUCACUGCACUUCAUCUAAAUACCAUCAAACCUUAGCAGCGAGGAUGGUAAUUGGAGAUCUAUGCAAAUAUUUAUAUAUAAAAAUUACAUUGAGAUAGUAAAGUGUGCUCACCAUCAUCAUAUCAUCAUCCAUCAAGUCGAUUCCACAUAAUGAUCUAUUUGUCACUUUCAACAUCCUGGGGGCUUAAAUGUUUCAAUUAAAUAAGGUAGGAUGAGAAGUAUUUUUCAUAAAGAACGGACAUUCAAGAAGUCUUGCUAGAUUGAUAGAUUGAUGUUGCAAAUGGUUCUCUUCUCAAGUAGCAUGAAAAAUUAUGCUACUUAAAUGUAGAGCCUCCUUUUUUCUAUUUUUUUUGGCAGAUCUUCCAAAUCAAAUUACAAGGUUACGACUAUGAAAACUCAUAGUACAAGUACAAAAAAUACCAAAUCAAUCAUCUAUUGACUUCUCGAUUCUCAUUAAAUCUGAUUCACAAAAUAGGUUGGGACCCAUUUUGCUAGCCCUACUAAAAUCUAAACAUUUUAAUAAAUUAAGGAUUUAUACGGCAUCCUAGUUCACAAAGAUGUGCCGUUGCUGUUGACAAAUCGACAGUGAUUGAUUUUCAUGAACUCGUCGUCAUAUUGUCGACAUUCCCAUUAUAUAUGAACAUAAGAGAGAACUUUGAUUUUUGAGCAUCAAGAGAUAAGAUUGACUUAAAUAGAAUGCCAAAUAGCCCAAGUGUCACAAUUAGAUAAUUCCAAACCCCAAACACUUUUUUUUUAACCCCAAACACAUUCAACUAUGGUUUUUUUUUCCUUAUAACUUUCUUCACAUAAUAUAAGAAUGUACUUUAUGGUUAAUGAUCAUAUAUAUCGCGGUUUAUGAAAGACUAUGCCACAUCAAUAGUUUUAGAUGUUAGUCCAAAUUCGAAAUACCGGGCCAACGUUUGAGAUUUGAUUGGCCAUUCGGCAUUUCAUUUAUUACUCAUGAAGUCUAUCAUUGCAUGAAAUUUACUGAAAAUUAGAGAAUCUCACAAUACCAACAAAACAUCAAGUUUAUUCAGCUUUUUUACCCUUGAUACACUCCACAUGUAGCCCAAUUUACAAAAUUCCACGAAAACUACUGCUCAGCAAAGACGAACAACAGCACCCAUCGGCCCAACAUGCUUAACUCCAAGCAUAGAGUGACUCGAACUCUUCUUGUCUCCUUUCAGUUUACCACAACCAGACAUAUUUAAUAAAGUACCGUGAACAAGACAAGAUAGCGAUGAGAUCUACUCAAUAGGCAUAGGGUUUGCCAAGAGAUAAGCCUCGAUGGCCUUGAACAUCGCGGACGCCUUCUCUUUCCCGGCCUUGAUCUUCUCCUCAGUGAUGUCCACCUCACCGAUGGUGAAGUACUUGCUCGUGUUCUUGCACACCGAGCCUCCCUCGGGCGAUGCGGUGAUCUUCACCUCGUAGCUGAUCUUCUCGAAGGUGGUGCCCAGCACAUCGCCCUCGAUGAUCGAGUAGCUGUAGGUGAAGUUCUCCUUGUCCAGGGCCUCGACCUUGUGCUUCAUUGUCUGGUACUGACUGCCUAUCAAAGUAAGAAAAAAGUAAUAUUCACGUUUAGAACUCGCCGGUUUCAACAUCACAAGCAACGAUCUUGAUGGUGUCCAUUGGGCCAUUUUGGUUGUUCCAAUUGCAAUCUGAUACGAUUGACUUAGACAUGGCCUGAUUUCGCUCGAUUGGAAUCGAGUCAUGUGAUCACUUGUGUAAAUCAAUGGUUAGAAAUUUUUUUAAUUAACCAAGUUACAUAUCUAUCUUUUUCAAUGUUCAUUAUGAUGUUCCAUAAGGUUGAAACAGCCUUGAUCCAGAGCGAUCCUAACACGGACGGACUAACCUUCGCCGAAAGUGAUCAACUUGAUGGUCCCGGGACCUCCGUUGCCCUCGAGGACUUCGACGCUCUUGAUGGCUUGCGGGAGCACCUUGGGGAUGAGGUUAUCAGCAUCGAGGACAGCGGCCUUGAACAUCUUGGCCGGAGGGAUUGGGGUCGUGACCUCGGAGUCGUAACUGACGACACCCAUGAUUUGGAUCCGAAUGGAGUUGCCGAAAUAGAGAAGAGGGUGAUCAGGAAAGGCUGAUUAGCAGUGAUGAAGUUGGUCUCUAGGACUCGGUAGUGAAGAGAAGAGGAUGAACCAAAGCUGACAUAUAUAGAGAGACCGAGUUUGAAGGGUUCUCGUUAUUGGAUAUUUUCUUCAAGUGUGUUCGUUUGGUACAAAAUAGAGAAGAGGAUGAACCGAAGCUGACAUAUAUAGAGAGACCGAGUCUGAAGGGUUCUCAUCAUUGGAUAUUUUCUUCAAGUGUGUUUGUUUGGUACAAAAUAAAUAAUUAAAUAACUAUUUGUAUCAUUUGGUAUAAUUAUUUGAUGAGAAAUUUUUGCAUUAUUGACAGUAAUUUAUAUCUAAAUAUUCCCGUGAAUGAUGAAAAUAUUUUUUAUUCAUUCCUUUUAUAAGUUAUAUGAAAAAAAAUAUUUUUUUACAAAACAAACGAAGCUUAAUAAAAAAAAUCUUAAUCAGUCUGUGGGUUGUUCAAUCAUGCCAUGGACUUUGUUCAUAAAAUAAAAUUUGUCUAUAUGAUAAUGGAAUAUUAGUCAGAGAAGGCACCAUCCUAGAAUGAUACCAAACGUUCUUCCAUUUCCCUUUCAUGUAUAGACUUGACUUUUGAUCCAGGAGCAUUUGCUCAGCAAACUCUCUUGGCUGAGCUUCACUGAUUUCUUACAUAGUGUUACUAUCAUAGAAAAUAUCAAGCCCUUAGCUGCAUAGGUCGCGAUCCACCCAGAUCUCAUCCUACUUCUUUUCAAUCCGUUCGGUAGAGGCCUCGGGAAGAAUUAUCAUCAAUUUCAUACUCAUAAAUAAUAUUCGCUUAACUCUGUGCAGUAGAAAAACUCGAAAAAUCGAGGCACAAUUUUUCCUGCUGGGUGAUCUCGGUGCUUCAUGUUUCUGUUGAGCUUCCAUCGAUAAGAAAAAGUACAGAUUGAUCUCAAUGUUGCACUAAUCCAAUUUAGCAGAAAAAAAUGGGAAAGGUAGUUUGGUAAUUACAAGGCUUUGUUACUUUUAGUCAACAAAGGCUGCUCUGAAAAUCAAGAUGGACGUCUAUAGAUUUUGAAUUUUUCUACUUGCUUUCAUGUGUCUAGUCCUUUUAAAUAAUAUUAUUGCGAACCAUUUUCUGCUAAUUGUCUGGUGGAAGUGUGGUGGAUCAAGCGAGAUUGGCUCACGGGUCACUUGCUCAUUAAACAUUUUUUUAAUUUUCCUUUUUAUCUAACGGUAUAGCGACGUAGAUUUUUAGAAACGCUUUCUUCGUAUUUAAUUUUCUUCUUUUGUCUAGUUCAUCUUGUCGUAGUCACGGACCAUGUGAACGUAUAGGAGAAUGUCCAUGGGUGUUAGAUCAGAUUAAUUAAUGAAUUUCGUCGUAUUGAGACAAAAUUGAUUAAACUUGUCAAUCAUCUCACUGCGACGGAAGAUUCGGAAAAUAUUAAUGCAUAACAACAGCAUAUGUUUUGGGAGAAAAGUAUUGGAGAGGGGCAUGGAUGCAUUGCUGAAGUUAUUUGAUGAGCAUGUCAUAUGUACUAAAUUAAUCUAAAUAGCUAAAUUUGAUGGAAUUCAUAUGAAACCUAAAUGGAACAUAUAGAAAUUAAAAGCCGAAUUUUGCUUUAUAUAAAUACGACGCUAGCUCAUUCUCGAGUCUUUGUCAAAAUUGUGUUGUAGGCAAUUGAAUGUGAACCUCCCUUCCCUUUCACAUAUGAUCGACUCAAAUUUCUCGUACUUCAUUGACUUCCUUGUUUCGCUGUUGAAGCAACAAAAUCACAGCAAUUGAAGUCACCAGAAGUAGCUCGCAUCAAUAAGGACCUUUUCCCUAUGGUCGGUCGAUUUACUGUUCAUCCCACCCCACAAGGAGAUAACCUCGUCACAUUUUCACACAAGCCUGGAUUUGCGAUAAAAGCGCUUUUUGGUGCUUAUUGGAAGAGGCGACCACUAGGAACCGCACCUGUCAGCUCGUUGUACAAUAAGUCUACGGAGCUUAAACAAGUUAUAUGUCCAUUUUUUUCAAUGUUCAUUAUAAUGUUCCGUAAGGUUAAAACCACCUUGAUCGAGAGCGAUCCUAAGUUCCUAAUAUGGAUGGACUAACCUUUGCCGAAAGUGAUCAAAUUGGUGGUCCCGGGACCUUCAUCGCCCUCGAGGACUUCGACGCUCUUGAUGGCUUGCAGGAGGACCCUAGGGAUGAGGUUAUCGGCGUCGAGGACAGUGGCCUUGAACAUCUUGGCCGGAGGGAUCUGGACGUUAUCGCAGAGUCGUAAGUGAUGACACCCAUGAUUGGAUCCGAACUGAGAAACUGAGAAGGGGGUGAUGAUCAGGAAAGACUGAGUAGCAAUGAUGAAGUCGGUCUCUAGGACUUGGGAAUGAAGAGAACAGGCUGAACCGAAACUGAUAUAUAGAGAGAGACUAAGUGUGAAGGGCUUUGAUCAGUGAAUAUCUUGCGAAACAAACAAAGCUUAAGAAAAAAAAAUUAUUCCGUGGAUUAUUCAGAGUAUGACAUGCCCCUUGUUCCUAAUAUAAAAAUGUCUAUAUGAUGAUAGAACAAAGCGUUGGACGAUCAUAUUGGGGAGAAUCGGGCAACAAUUUACUAAUAACGAAACACAAUUUAGCAUCAAUUUCUCCUCUAAAACUAAACCAACCGAAACCAACUCAACCCCAGCAACCACCAGCAAUAUGUAAUACCAAAAUGACAAUAAGACAGAGCCAACAAUGACACUAAGGUUUUAACAUGGAAACCAAUACAUAAAAAAUCACAUACCCUACUCACUAACAGUAAUAGGAUACAAAAAGUGUUAUUUUAUAAUCACACAUUAGAGACUCAACAUCAAUGAUAUAACCAUAUUUCCUCACUCCAAAGAUAGAUUAACAUAAACGGAGCAAGAAAACCCUAAUCGGUUGGAGAAUCUGGAGGGGGUUCUUAUCUAACGAAAUCAAUCAAUUUGUAGUCCUUGAUUUUACAAAAUAACAUUCAAAUUUGAGCAAAUUCCAUCGGCAUCUUGCAUUCCAAUCGGGACCAAAAAGAUUAUGCCCUUUCUUUCGGAACGCUAAGAAAGAAGAGCCCAGACACAGACAACAAUUACCUACUCACUAAGUGUAACAUUAGGCUAGUGGGCCCCAAAAGAAGAAAUAGAAAACGAAGUUUUAAAGGCCCCAAAGAAGAAACUGAAAAAGAAACCGAAAAGUCAUUAAAGCAAAAAGGAGAUGGGAGAGGGCUCGGCUAAAUAGAAGCUGAGAGUUUCCUCGACCAAAAAGAAAAGAAAGAAAAGAAGAAGAAGAAGAAGAGAAAAGGGAAGAAAGGAAAGAAGUUUUGGCACGUGCACGCCUCGGAUGCCUUGCCAAGCCAAUUUGACUCCAUAACCCGGUAAGAGAUCAAGCCCCUCGUUUGUCCGAUUGAAGUAAUUUUUGGAUUUAGGACUCAAAUUCGGAAUUUUUGGAAAAUCGAGCGGCGAAGUCUAAUUUUGGAGUCGUUGAGCCACACAUUUUUGUAAGAAUGGUAAUUUAGGGUGUUGUGGAACCGUGGGAUUUUUCGGAUCGUGAUUUGAGCUUAUGGUUUGUCCAAAACAAAAUUCCAAAGUUUCCCGCGCGCAGUGAACAGUACGCGUCCAGCAGCUUUGGGCCCGUAUUUUGUCAUUUUUUCGGCUUGAUUUUGGGAUGACCAAUUUGGGAUUCUUGUAAUAUGUGUCAAGGGCUCUCUAUUGACUAUAAGUACGUUCGGAUCGGGGUUCGGAAGAGAAAGUUAAGGCUCGAUCAAGUUUUGCGCUUAAACUUCAUGUUGCGAAUGGCUUAAACAAUCAAUUUGGAUAUGCGACUUGUUAGUGCACAGAAGUCCUUUUGUUAGAGUUAAGGCGUAACUUAGUCAUUUUGUAGUCGAGAUAGAAUUUUAUUAGAUUUUAACAUUAUUCUUCGAUUAUUUGAUAGGGCUUUGAGUUCGAAGAUACAAGUAUCAUUUGUCGUUUGGUCGUAGACGAUAAGGUGAGUGGUACUAUAUCUUCUUUGGUUUUAUAAAAUCAUGUCUUGAAGUAUGUAUGUAUAUAUAUUGAAUCAAGAAGAGCAUUUUUAUUGCAUAAAAGUCAGAUCGAGCAAUUGCUACCCUUUGGUUGAUUGUGAAUCUUUGAAAAGCACAUUAUACAAGGUUUGUGGAGAAACAUAUAUGAAAUUGCUUUGCGACUGAUUUAUGAAAAGGUUUAUGAUGAUUUGAGAAACGAGUAUGAAAUGGAUGAUGGGCUAUGUUGCAAAAUAUUAUUUGUUUGGUUUAAGAUAUUGAUUUUUGGAUUGAAUUUCUGGUAUUGGAGAAUGGUUAUUUAUGCUCAAUAUGACUGUGAACCCAGUGAGGGGUUUUUGGGGUAUGCAUACCAGGUUUAGGAUAUCCUUCUGGGCCGAGCCACCGGCUUUGUAGGUGGAGACCUUGCCAAGGGGAGAAUCUUGGUCGCCUUGUCACAGGACGUUGUGUCGUGACCAUGGUUAGUUAUUGAGCAAAAGAUUGAUCAAUGGAUAGACCAUUGAUACUUGAAUUUUGAUGGCGAUUCAAAUGAGUUUUCCAUAUUACUAUAAAUCUUGAUGAUAAGAAAUAACUCAUAAGAUUCAAUACUUAUUUUAUAUAUUGAGUUGGCUUAUGAAAUUUGGUAUUGUUUUGUAUACAUGCAUAGUGGUUGUUCGAUCUGCUUAAAAGAUAUGUACUACUCACUGAGCUGUGGUUGCUCAUCCCAUUCCUCAUUUGAUCUUUUCAGGUUCCUCAGCUAGUGGCAAAUAGAGCGAGUGCGCCGUCGUGGGAAACUUUUGGGGAGUUCUAUUUUGUUUUUGGUAUGGUUUAGGGAAGUGGUGCAAAUGAUCUUUACUAGUGGUUGAAUCGUCUAAGUUUUGAAGUAUAUAUUUUCUCUUUUUGGUGGAUUAUAGAAAUUCUAAUGUUGCAACCAAUUUGAAGGUUUAUCUGAUAUUUAUACUUGUAACAUCCUGGACCCCACUGUGUAAUAUUGUCCGCUUUGGGUCACCCGCCCUGGCACGGACGAACCGCCAUCCCAGCCGCGAUCUUUUCCCUCACGGCUUUAAAACGCGUUACACAGGUUAGAGGGAUCCAAGCCUUAUAAGCUGACCAAUAUCUCCCUCCCUAGGCGAUGUAGGACAAGAGAGGAGGCUGUCACACUCUCCACCUCUUAACAGAAUAGCGUCCUCGCUAUGGCCCCACGGGUAUCAGAACAACAUUCAAGCUGUGGUCCCACACGCGGUCGGGAGUCGGCUCUGAUACCACUUGUAACAUCCCGGGCCCCAUUGUGUAAUAUUGUCCGCUUUGGGUCACCCACCCUGGCGUGGACAAACCGUCAUCCUAGCCACGGUCUUUUCCCUCACGGUUUUAAAACGCGUUACAUAGGUUAGAGGGACCCAAGCCUUAUAAGCUGACCAAUAUCUUCCUCCCUAGGCGAUGUAGGACAAGAGAGGAAGCUGUCACAUAUAUAAGUUAAUAUCAGUUUGUAGGUUAUGUUUGAGGCUGCGUCCUUUGUAAAGAAGGAUGGCCGUGUCAUCCCCAUUCUUUGUAGUUUUUGGGGUGUGACACUAAGUUCCGAAAAGCAUAGACGAGCGAAAUGCCUCACGAAUUAACCUAAGAGCAACAUAAACACGCCGAGAUAGAAAACGGUAGAAGCCGACGCCUCAAAUUGCAAACUUCUUCGACCCAAAAAAAAAAAAUAUUGCAAACUUCGAGCUACAAAAUGGCGAUUAAGCACGGAGGGCCGGAGAUGGGGUGGAGGGAGCACCUUGAUGUCGAAAUCGACGCCGGCGGUGGCGAGGAGGGGAGAGGGGGUGGAAAUCUAGGGUUAGGACAGGUUUGGUCUCGUGCCAAUUCAUCUGGACCGUGCCUCCCUUCAUAUCUCCUCUGCCCGCUCCGCCGCUUCCUUCCUUCCCCCUCUCUCUCUGAAAUCGAAGCCUUCUUCCUUGAUUUCUUAGCGAACGAAAUCGAUCAAUUCGUGGAAUUCGUGAGAUUCGUGCGCUCUCCCCAUUCCGCGGAGAGAUUCCCGACAAAUAGAGAUUAGAUUGUAGGCUUGUCCAUCGUCGUUUCAGUAAAGCGAGUGUAAUGCCAAAAAAGGGAAAUAAGGACGACACAAUUGGCUCUGACAUUGAAUUGACAGUUUAUUCCUGGCCUCCUACGUGAGCAUAUCACGUGGCCCACCCAUCAUGGCUCAAAUUCAUGAAAACAAACUAAUAAAAAAAAGAUCCAAAAUAGACUCCACCACCAUCCUCUCGGAAAUCCAAUCAAAAAAAGGAAAAGAUAAAAAAGGCAAAUCAUCCCAGACAAAACAAGCAUGGCAUUCGCCACACGCUACUAAAAAUUAACCACACACAGAUUCACAAGUCUCAGGGUUCGCGAGGCAAGCCUCGAUGGCCCCAAACAUAGUGAAAGCCUUCUCUCUCACGGCCUUGAUCUUCUCCUCGGUGUUGUCCACGUUGCCCCUGGCGAAGUAUUUGCUAUCGUUCAUGCACACCGUGUUAGACAAUUCAUAUAAAACUUGAUGCGGAAAUUCAUAACAAAUCAUUGAUCUUUGAUCUUCAUGAUUUUCACAAAUAGAUUCAGACAAACCUUUAUCCAUAGCGCUACGCUUGAUGAUGAUCGUUGUAGAAAACCCAAUGAUCUCGAACCAAAAGGAGAAAUCCGAUUUCUCUCCCUUAACCCACUAAACCUUAAUGUAUUCAAUUGAUGGAGGAGAGAAUAUGUUCUUUUCAGUUAUUGUUGUUCGUAUGUGGGUGGAGAGAGGACCGGACUCUUUUAUACGUUCGUUGAAAAUGUGCCUUCCAUCAAAGCGAUAUACCCUUUCGUUUUAUUAGAGUCGUACCUUCUCAUAACCAAUAUUAUUUAUAGCAUUUCAAUCAUUAUUAAACCAUAUAAUAAAUCACAUAAUAUGGGCCACAAUAAUUCUUACAUUCUCCCACUUGGCCCAUAUGAUUCUCCUUUCAUGGUUUAAUGAAGACUAUAAUGUGCACAAUAAGAUUAUGCUAUAAAAUUUCAUUAAAUUGGCAAUCACAUAAUAAUCACAAUUAAGUAAAGAAAACUAAUGCGAGUCAUAGCGGUUAUAUGUCAUUAAUCGACAUAGUCCCUUCUAUGUACUACAACUAUAGCACUUUACUUAACAUGAUCCAUAAAUGAGAAGUACAGUAAUAGUCCAACCAUAAUGUUUCUUUAGAAACUAUCCUGUUUAAAAUUAAUCUAUUUCCAUAAUGUAUACUAAAUAGAAAACAGGAAAUAUCAUAAACAUGUAAGUGAGCUCAAAGUGUCAAAUACAUAAACUUAAUACAAUCAUAAUACAAACAUUAAUGACGUCCAAUAAUGCCCAUCCUUUCAACAUGCUCAUUAAAUGUUUUGGGCGGCAAUCCUUUUGUUAAGGGAUCUGCUAUCAUAAGAUUGGUGCUAAUGUGCUCAAUUGACACUCUUUGUUUCUGAACUUCUUUUUUGACAGACAAGUAUUUGAUCUCCAUAUGCUUAACACCCUUAGAAUACUUGUCGUUCUUAGAGAAGAAAACUGCUGCAGAGUUAUCACAAUAGAUUUUCAGCGGCUUGGCAAUACUGUCGACGAUCACAAGCCCUGAAAUAAAAUUCCGCAGCCAUAAUCCAUGAAUUGUGGCCUCAAAGCAUGCCACAAAUUCAGCUUCCAUAGUGGAUGCAGCAAUAACUGACUGCUUCGCACUCUUCCAUGAAAUUGCCCCUCCAGCCAGAAGAAACAAGUAACCAAAUGUUGAUUUUCUUGUAUCGACACAUCCGGCUAAGUCUGAAUCUGAAUAUCCAAUCACCUCGAGAUGAUCAGAUCUUUUAUAAGUGAGCAUAUGAUUCUUUGUUCCUUGCAAGUAUCUAAGAACUUUCUUUGCGGCUUUCCAAUGAUCCAUUCCAGGAUUACUUUGAUACCUACCUAGCAUUCCGACAGCAAAAUUGAUGUCUGGUCUGGUGCAAGUUUGUGCAUACAUUAAGCUUCCCACAAUAGAUGCAUAAGGAAUAUUAUUCAUUUGUCCUCGUUCCAAUUCACUUUUCAGACAUUGCAUAAGGCUAAAUUUAUCACCUUUCUGAAUUGGAACUAUUCCUGCUGAACAUUUACUCAUAUUAAAUCUCUCUAAAAUUUUCUCAAUGUAGGCUUUCUGAGACAAUCCUAAUAAUCCUUGUGAUCUAUCACGGAAUAUUUCUAUUCCUAUCACAUAUGUUGCCUCUCCCAUAUCCUUCAUUUCAAAAUUCUUAGAGAGAAAUUUCUUGGUUUCAUGUAACAAACCAAGAUCAUUAGCAGCAAGCAAAAUAUCAUCAACAUACAGAACUAGAAAAAAAAAACUUGCUCCCACUAAUCUUCAUAUAUAUACACCGAUCAACGGUGUUUUCCUUAAAUCCAAAUGAAGUUAUGGUAUCGUUAAACUUAAGAUACCAUUGUCGAGAAGCUUGUUUAAGUCCAUAUAUUGACUUCUUUAAUUUACAUACCAUGUGUUCCUUUCCUAUAACUGAAAAGCCUUCGGGUUGGUCCAUAUAAACCUCUUCCUCUAAAUUCCCAUUAAGAAAUGCGGUUUUUACAUCCAUUUGGUGUAACUCCAAGUCAUAAUGAGCCACCAAAGCCAUAAUGAUUCUAAGUGAGUCUUUCUUAGAGACCGGUGAAAAUGUCUCUUUAUAGUCAAUGCCUUCUUUCUGAGUAAAACCAUUUGCAACAAGUCUGGCUUUAUGUCGUUCAAUAUUGCCUUUUGAGUCGCGCUUGGUCUUAAAGACCCAUUUACACCCGACCUUCUUACAUCCUUUAGGCAAUUCAACAAUAUCCCAAACUUGAUUUUCAUGCAUGGAUUUUAACUCUUCUUCCAUGGCAUUAAACCAUUCAUUAGAAUCUUCACAUUCCAUGGCUUGGGAAAAUGAAUCUGGAUCAUUUCCAAUUCCUAAGUCAAUUUCUGACUCUUGUAGAUAAACCAUAUAGUCAUCAGAAAUAGCCGACCUCUUUUCUCUUUGAGAUCUCCUUAAUGCUAUUUCUUGUGACUCGGUUAUUGGAGGUUCAUUAUUGACAUCUCCAUUAUUUGGUGUUUGUUGUUCUCGAUUAUUGUUAGAUUGUACUACAAUAUCAGAAACAACAACUUUAGAAGCUUUAGGCAUAGGAACUUCUACCCUUACUUCUUGAAUGCAAGCAUCACGCAUUCUUUCACUCCCACUGAUGUCACCAUUCUCAAUGAACCUAGUAUUUCCAGAUUCAACAAUUCUUGUACUAUGAUUAGGACAAUGAAAUUUAUACCCUUUGGAUUUCUCUGCAUAACCAAUGAAAUAACCACUGGUCGUUCUUGAAUCCAAUUUCCUUUCAUGUAUUGUAAAUUCUUACUUCUGCUUGACAACCCCAAACAUGCAGGUGUCGUAAACUAGGUUUCCUUCCCGUCCACAAUUCAAAUAGAGUCUUUGGAACUGCCUUACUAGGAACCCUAUUUAAUAAGUACAUAGAAGUCUUUAAAGCAUACAUCCACAAAGAUAAGGGUAAAGAUGAAUGACUUAUCAUACUCCUAACCAUUUCCAUUAAAGUACGAUUACGCCUUUCUGCUACACCAUUUUGUUGUGGUGUACCUGGCAUUGUGUAUUGAGCACAUAUGCCAUGUCUUUCAAGGAAUUUAGCAAAUGGACCUGGACAUUGUUCCGAUUCAUCAUACUUUCCAUAAUAUUCACCACCUCUAUCCGAUCUUAUUAUUUUCACAUUUCUAUCUAAUUGCCUCUCAACCUCUUUAAUAUACACUUCAAGUACAUUUAAUGAUUGAGACUUAUCAUGCAAUAGAUAAAUGUAACCAUAACGUGAAAAAUCAUCAAUAAAGGUUAUGAAAUAGCUUUCCUUACUAAAAGAUGGAACAUCGAAAGGACCACAUAUGUCAGUAUGUAUAAUCUCAAGAAGCUAUGUGCUUCUUGUGGCACAUUUCUUAGUGUGCUUUGUUUGUUUACCUUUAAUACAAUCAAUACACACUCUAAAGUCAGUAAAAUCCAAAUUUGGAAUAAUUUCAUUCUUCACUAAUCUUUGCAUUCUUUCUUUGGAUAUAUGACCCAACCGUUUAUGCCACAAGUAAGCAGAAUUUUCAUUCACCAAACUUCGUUUAGUGCCAACAUUAUGAUGCAAGGUCAUUAAUGUCUCAACAAAAGUAUUAUCAAGUCUAAAUUUGUAGAGACCAUCACAUAAAGUUCCAGUUCCAAUAAGAGCAUCACUCUUAAAUAGACUGAAAGAUUCAGAUCCAAACUUACAAUAAAAUCCCGCCACAUCAAGUCUUGGCAAAGAAACUAAAUUGCGAGAAAAUGUAGGUACAUAAAGGGUUCGAAAAAAAUCCAAAUAAUGCCCAGUAUCUAAUAUCAAACGAUAAGUGCCAAUGCCUUCAACUGGAGCUUUGUCUCUGUUCCCCGUAAUCACAUAACUUUCAUUUGGAAAAUGUAGGUACAUAAAGGGUUCGAAAAAAAUCCAAAUAAUGCCCAGUAUCUAAUAUCAAACGAUAAGUGCCAAUGCCUUCAACUGGAGCUUUGUCUCUGUUCCCCGUAAUCACAUAACUUUCAUUUGGCUUUAUAGUUUGGAUCUUAAGAAAUCCCUGCAUCGUAUUUGACACAUGAGUGGUGGCACCAGAAUCAAUCCACCAAGUAUUAUAAGGAACUUCAGUAAAAUUUGAUUCAAAACAUACUAAAGCACAAGGCUUACCUUUCUUUUCGAACCAAGCCUUACAUUUCAGACAAUCUUUCUUCAAGUGUCCAAUUUUGUUGCAAAAAUGACAUUUAAUAAGAUUGUGUUCCUUCUUGUGGAUUUGAGAAGCCUUUGAAGAGUCAUUCAGGACGUGUAGUCCUUUCUUCUUGCUCCUUCCACCUUUCCUCUUAAAAUUCUUUCGAACUUCUUGAUGACUUGAGAGAUGAAUAGAAUGAGCAUUUUGAUUCUUUAUCCUUAUUUCCUCUUGAACUAGCAUACUGGCCAAUUCGUUUACAUUCCACUUAUCCUUUAUAGUGUUGUAAUUCAUUUGAAAUGGCACAUAUUGCUCAUGAGGUAAGGAAUUAAGUAUAAAUUGUACUAAAAAGUACUCAUCCAUAUUCAUUCCCAAAGUCCUUAACUUUGCUGCUAAAUUGGUCAUCUCAAGUAUAUGCUCAUGCAUGGUACGCGAACCAUCAUAUUUCAUGGUGGUCAGUGUGCUCAUCAGUGUACCAGCAAGUGACUUAUCAGCAGUUUGAGAACGCUCUUCCACAAAUUUCAUAAAUUCCUUAGCAUUGUUAGUCUUGGGAAGAGAAGUUUUUAAGUUGUUUGCAACUGUCAUUCGCAUGAACAUUAAGCUCAGUCUGUUCGAUCUUUCCCAAGCUUUAUGGAAAGACUUUUCAUCAUUGCUACUUUCAUCAGUAAUAGCAGCUGGUUUCUCAGCUUGAAGUGCUAAAUCAAGAUCCAGGACACCUAAGUGAAACUGGACUUGUUCACUCCAAUCAGGAAAAUUUAUCCCAUUGAAUAAGGGAACAGAUGAGGCGUGCGAAUGGAGUGAAACAGGUACAGAUACUACAAAUGUGCAAGAAAAUACUCAUACAUUAAUGCUUUGAGAAUAUCAUAUAAUCAGAUUAAACUAAACUACACAUGCACAUCAUAGUUCUCCUUUGAGCGAUCCUAUGAUAUACAAAUAUAUAUAAACCAUAAUGAUGCUAAUAACUUUUAUUUGAUAAUUGUAAAUAUAUCUUAUUAAAAUUUAUUUGUUAUCUUUGGAUAUACAAACAAAUUUAACAAAUCAUAUUAAUUAUCAACCAUCAUGUUCAUGGAUUAUAAGAAAAUAAUUAACCUUUGGGUUAAUCCCUAAGUUCUUAUAAUAAAUGAACUUCAAUAUACCCAUAACUCCAAUAAUGAUAUAAAACAUAUCAAUUUCAUAUAUAUAGCAUCAAUUAAUCAUGGGUAAUUGAAUAAAAUAAUUUACGAUAUUAAAAAAAUUCAAAAGACUUCAAGGUUCGGCCACUUUGGUGACUAACAAACCUUUCAUAAUAUGAAUUUUUAAUAUUGCAAAAUACAAAUAUUUACCAAAUUGCACACAAGGACAUAAAAUGCAAUCAAAGCAUAAGGGCAAAAUCGUAAAAUCAUAAUUCCAUAAGGGUAGAACCAUAAAAUUAUAAUCCAGGGGCAAAAUGGUAAAUAAUCAGCAAUGGCAGAAUCGUAAUUAUAAAUUAAACAGGGGUAGAACAGUAAAUAACCAUCAAAAGGACGGCAAAACGGUAAUUAGGAGCCUCGGGAGGGGCAAAAGCGUAAAAGUCCGCGCGGGGACGUCAGGCGCGUGCCUCGCACGCGCCUGCAACCGCGCGGGAAGCCCCGCGCGCGUGGAUCCCACGCGCGCAGCGCUUGCGCGCGCGUGAAGGCGCGUGGCGCGUGGGUUCCACGCGCCUGCAACCGCAGCGCGCGCGUGGAGCCCACGCGCCUUCUUCCUCGCGCGCAGACGCGAUUCUUCGCCGGUUUUUCGCCGUUCCACCGCCGUUUCGCCGCCCGUUUCUUCUCCGACAGCCCAUUACAGACACAAAUAAUUAAUGGGUUUUGAAGAGCAUGCCGGCACGACCACAUGGGUCCAAAUUUCGGAGAAAAUGACCAAAAAUUGGCCCCAAAUCAAACCAAAGUUUCAGAACACAAAAACUCCACCACCGCCGCUUCCGCCGCUCGAUUAGCCGCCGGCGAACACCAAUAUACGGGAAAAAUCAUGGCUAAUGUUCCUCAUGACAGUGCGACGGUGUGGGUCCGAAAUCAAGCGGUGGGUUGCCGGAUUUUACCCGGAACCGGCGAGUUUCUUCCUUGCCCUCAAAAUUCCGAAUUCCACCAUUUUUGUCAUUUUCCACUCGUGCACACACAGUAACUUUUCUUCACAAUUUUAGUCCAUGAAAAACGUUCUAUCAUUCGGAUUUUCUUUAACAGAACCUUCCAAAACAUUUCAACAACAACAAAUGCUAUAAACAUGAUCGUUUAACAAAUCAUCAAACAUCAACUAUAAUAUUUCUUUAAACGGAAAAAUCAUGAGAUCAUAAACCAAACGCUCUGAUACCAACUGUUAGACAAUUCAUAUAAAACUUGAUGCGGAAAUUCAUAACAAAUCAUUGAUCUUUGAUCUUCAUGAUUUUCACAAAUAGAUUCAGACAAACCUUUAUCCAUAGCGCUACGCUUGAUGAUGAUCGUUGUAGAAAACCCAAUGAUCUCGAACCAAAAGGAGAAAUCCGAUUUCUCUCCCUUAACCCACUAAACCUUAAUGUAUUCAAUUGAUGGAGGAGAGAAUACGUUCUUUCAGUUAUUGUUGUUCGUAUGUGGGUGGAGAGAGGACCGGACUCUUUUAUACGUUCGUUGAAAAUGUGCAUUCCAUCAAAGCGAUAUACCCUUUCGUUUUAUUAGAGUCGUACCUUCUCAUAACCAAUAUUAUUUAUAGCAUUUCAAUCAUUAUUAAACCAUAUAAUAAAUCACAUAAUAUGGGCCACAAUAAUUCUUACACACCGAACCUCCCUCCGGUGAUGCACUGAUCUUCAGCUCGUAGCUAGUGUUCUCCAAGGUGUUGGCCAGCAUGUUGCUCUCGAUGAUUGAAUUGGAGUAGGAGUAGCUCCCAUUGUCCAGGACCUCGAGCUUGUGCUUCACUACCUUGUUCCGAUGGCCUAUAGAAAACGCAAGUCACAUUUGAGACGCCACCGGUUUCGAAAAUCGCAAGCACUGCUUUGAAACACCAUUGACUCACGACAUCGUCAUGUUAAUGGUCAGGAACAUUUGAAUUAACCAAGUAAAUUUACUAACCUUCGCUGCCAGUGGUCUCCUCGACAAGCUCGGCACUCUUGAGGAAAGGGAAGAAGACUCUGGAGAUGAGGUUUAAGGCCCUAACGAUGGCCUCGAACGCCUGGGCUAGGAGGAUGGAGGACUUGAUCUCAGUCCUGAAGUAUUCCAUGAUUCUCUGUCCGAAAAAAAUCUGCUAAAAGCUGAAAGGGAAUGAUGAGAAUUGCGAGUACUGAGUAGGAGUGAAGUCUUGAUCUAAAAUUUCGGAGCGCAGUUCUAUAUAUUUAUAGAUAGGGUGCGAGAGUGAGAUGUAGAGGAGUCCGUGUGUAUCUAAUGACUCUUUCGGGACGUUUGGGUGGACAAGGGGAACUUUUUUAUGUUUUUUUCUAGUUGCUUUACGGGUUACUUUUAUCGGCACAGAUCAGCCGGGGUUUCUUUCCGGAUUGGGCGCUUUCAAGAAUUUUGGGUGGACUCGGGGUUUAAACGAGAGGUAGAAAAAGCCAAGGGAACAGGAGGCAGGUGGGACCCUUCAGCCCGUGCUUUUUCCUUUUUUCCAUUGAGAGGACGGAGACGAGGAAAGCAUAUCCGGCCCGCUCGACUUUUGGCAAUGACAGAAGCUCUCUCGUUGAUAAAGCUAGGCCGUGAGGUGAGUUGAGUCAUGCACAAGUACACCAAAUUGAAACUCUUCCGCACGUGGAGAUAGCUUCAGACAACUUAGAUGCCGUGAAUUGUGUCAUUUCCUUGGAACUUCUAGGUCCGUCAUCCAGGAUUGUGAUCUUCUAUUGACCCAACUAGAAGCAUAAAUUAAACUAAAAUAAGAACCCAAAGAAGCAAAUCGUGUUGCGGAUUGAGUAGUCAAAGACCCACCGAGUUAGAACCCUUCCAUCCAAUUGGGUUGUUUAUCCCCCUCAUUUCCAUUGGUAAAUUUAAGUCUUGAAUUUGGUACUAGUUAUAAUUCAUCUUUGAGUUAGUAAUCAAAAGUUAUUUUCGACCAAAAAAAAAAAAACCACCGAUGACGUACUAAUUCGAUGUUGUUGAUUUUGUGCGUACAAAGUCCAAAUCAACAUUAAUGACGUCAUAUAUGGCGUGCUAAAAGUUGUUCAUGAGUUGAAUUUUUGCAAUUACGUGCCCAAUGAAUUUUGACGCUCUUGAGUGGGAAAUCACUAAAUUGUUAACUUUUUCCAAAUGCCUGACGGGUGUCAUAGGAUUAGUUUGGCGAGUAGAGAUAAAAAGUUAGCACGCAAGUAAUUUAAAAGCGCAGUGUAAAUUCGAUUCUCCCAAUCAAUGAGCAUAAACGAGAACAUGGGGGCGAAAAAGGUUGUUACCAGCAUUGAAAAAGUGGACUUUUGAGAAGCUCCAAUCACUAAAAUGUUGCGUAUUCGGCAAGAUGCAAGUAAGUCUAUCCAUCGAGAGUUAGUUUUUAGAGAAAUGCAUAAACAGAUAUUAAAUCAAUAGAUAUGCUUAGAAAAAUGUCAUACAUAGCUUUUUUAGCUUUUUUAGCUUUUUUAGUAAGCAAGAGGUCUUGACUUUGAUUCUCAACGAGAUCCUUUUUCUUUUGACUUGUAAUAUUUCCUUUUUUCACAUUCAAUCUUCUUCCUAACAAUUUUUUUGAUAAAAAAAAAUUCAAUCGAGCCAAAAAAUGAAUUGCUUAAUACAUGAUAGAGCCAACAUAUAUACAUACUAUAUAUGUGUUUUUUCUCAGUACAAAUGGUUAUACGAGGACCCAAUUAGUAAGAGGGAGGUCUUGAAUUUGACUCUCAACAAGAGCAUUUGUCAUUCAAACUUUUUCAUAACAACUAUUUUACUAAAGAAAAAAAUCGAUUGAGCCAAAAAAAUUGUCACUUAAUACAUCAUAAAGCCAGCAUACACAUAUAAUUCAUUUUUCUCACUACAAAUGGGUAUACGAGCACCCAUUUAGUAAGCAGGAGGUUUUAAGUUCGACUUUCAAUGAGAGCAUUUAUCUUCUGACUUAUAAAUUUUCCUUUUUGUAAAUUCAAACUUCUUCAUAAUAAUUUUUUUAAGAUAAAAACCACCAAAAACCCCAAACUUUGCUCAAAGUGACAAAUUUAUCCCAACCUUUAUAUUUUGAUAUGAAAAAUCCCGAAUUUUGCCAACUGUGACACAUUUAUCCCAAACUUUUUUUUAUGACACAAAAAAUUCUGAACUUGUAUUUAUGUGACACAUUUACCCUAAAUUGUAAGGUAUUUUGGUCUUUUACUUUUAAAAUAUUUUUUUUACUUUUUUUUUUCUUCUUCUCUCUUCCCUCCACCAGCCAUGGCAGAGCCGAUGGAGGAAGCCAUAGUUAGGCGAGGGCUACCCUCACCGGCGUCAAGCGAGGGUCGCCCUCAGCUAGGCUGGCUAGGGCCGCCCGACGCCAGUGAGGGAGGUCCUCGACCGACCCAGUCGAGGGUGGCCCUCGCUUGAUGACGCCGAGUGCAGCCCUCGCCUGACUCCAACUUCCCUCCGCCAUGGCCAGCGAAAGGAAGAGAGAAGAAGAAGAAAAAAGAAAAAAAAAGAGAAUAAGACGAAAAUGCUAUUGGUGGGUUAAAUGUGUUACAGUUUGCAAAAUUUGGGGUUUUUAUGUCACAAAAGAAGGUUUAGGAUAAAUUUGUCACUUUAGGCAAAGUUAUGGUUUUUGGUGGUCUUUUCCCUUUCAAUCGAGCCAUAAAAAAAGUCACUUAAUACAACAUAGAGCCAACAUAUAUAAUAUAUUUUGUUCCUUUUCUUGGUAUAAAUGGGAUACCAGCACUCGUUUAGCAAGCCUAAGUCUUGAGUCCGACUCUCAAUGAGAGCACUUGUCUCGUGACUUAUAAUCCUUCUUUCUUCUACAUUCGAACUUUUCCGUAACAAAUUUCUUGACAAACAUUCAAACUUCUAUCUUCUUGAUGCCGUUAUAAUAAGGGAUACGGAACUCUAGUGUGAAUGGAACUCAUUGCUGUGAUGCUAAAGGGAAGGCGAUGCUGACGAAUCCUACUGGAAUAUGCGGGGGACAGAAAAUCUUAGAGCUGGCGGUUAGAUCUAGUUGAGGUUACCAAGGGUUGAUUAUUGCUUAUCGCCCCGGAACUGACUUACCUAGGUCAUGCUCAGCCCUCACCCUUAGAAAAAGGAACUCAAGAAAAAAAAUUCAGUCACUGCUCCAUAAUGAUUAAUGUCCAUCAUAGUUCAAGUAAGGAGAUAUAAGCAAACGUUCAAACAAUAAAUAAAUAGAUCAACAAAAUAAAUUGGAUACCAGACUUAUAUGAUUCAAUCGCAGUGACCUACCUCUAUAAGAAAAGUAAUAACAAAUUUUAUUGUAGAUCAAACAAUAUGACGGAAAUUAUAAUCACAGUCGAGUUACUUUAAUACUCUUAUUGUUUUCCAAUUUCUAAUUACAUUCAAUAAUUCAAGUAAUAUAUAACCUCACAAUUUCUAACUAAAUAAUCCUUUAAUCUCAAGAAGAAAUUAACAAAUCGCGAAUUAAACCCUAAUUUCGCUAUAUGUAAUUCAAGGAGAAUAUCCAAUGUCAAGCACGCCAACGGCACUACUUGCGGCUGAAAAACCCGUGAUAAAGUCACCUCUCCACACGAGAGAGAGAGAGAGAGAGAGAGAGAGAGAGAGAGAGAGAGAGAGAGAGAGAGAGAGAGAGAGAGAGAGAGAGAGAGAGAGAAUGUGUGCAUGUCUGUCUUUUUCCUUCGGCAUUUUUGGCGGCUUCUUUUGUGGCAGUCAUCUAAGGCCUCGCAUGGUAAUGUUUCUGUUCCUUUUCUGUUCCCGGGAACAGAAACAAAAAAAAAAAAGUGUUUCUGUUCCAGGGAACGGUUUUUGAACAAAAGAACGUGUUUGGUAACGUUUGUUCCGGGAAUAAAAAAUGAAUAGAAACACGUUUGGUAAAUUUUAUUCUUUUUUUGUUUCUUUUAAUUUUUUAAUAUUUUUAUUUUAUUUUCCAUUUUUUCCUUUCUUUUUUAUUUUUUUCUUCUUUCGGCCGGUCGCCGACCUCCGGCGACCAGCCGACGAGGCCGGCAGCCUCGCCCGGCCACGGCAAGGCUCGCCGGCCCCCGGCAAGGCCGAGCCUCGCCGUGGUUGGGCGUGGCUCGGCCUCGCCGGAUCUAGGCGAGCUCGAGCUCGCCCAGCCAUGGUGAGGCUCGGCCUCGCCGGAUCUAGGCGAGCCCGAGCUCGCCCAGCCAAGGCAAGGCUCGGCGUCGCCAGUGCGGGCGAGGCCGAGCCUCGCCGCCCUGCCGUCGGAGCCAAGCACCUGCGCCCCGAAGCCCGCAGCUCAACGCCGUCCUGAUCUCACCACACCAUUCGCGACGCCGUCCACCGGCAAGGCCCGUGUCGCCCCGUGUCGAUCCCGAAGCCUCUAGUACGGCGCUGCCGUCGCACCGUCCUCCGGAGCCCCUCGCCGGAACCCUAGCCGAAGAUCUCCCAUCGAGCGAGGCCGAGCCUCGCCUUGGCUGGGCGAGCUCGGCGUGGGCGAGGCUCGGCCUCGCCAGGGGCCAGCGACGCUCCGGCGAGGUCGUUGACCCUCGAGGGCGUCGCCAGCCCUUGACGGCCGGUCGUCGGCCAUGGCCGAGGCCGGCGACCGGCCAGAAGAAAAAAGAAGAAAAAAGAAGAAGAAAAGAAGAAGAAAAGAGAAGAGAGAGAAGAAGAGAAGCGUUUCUUUUUGGCUUUGAAGAAGUUUUUCUUUUCUCCAGAAACAACUUUUUUGUGUUUCUUUUUUUUUGUUCCAAUUUUGUUCUGGGAACAAAAAAACAAAAAAAGAACAUAAACGCAACCAAAUGCGUUUCUGUUCUUUUUUUGUUCCCGGGAACAAAAAAAGUACAAAAGUGUUCCAGAAACACUUUUUUGGAGCGUUUCCAUGUAGGGCCUAAGUGACCGGUGAAGAAAGACCGAUAAAAAGAAGAAGAAGAAGAAGAAGAAGAAUACUUUCUGAGAGAGAGAGAGAGAGAGAGAGAGCAAUCAAUAUUGUCAGUGCACUGUUCGGGGUACAAAGCAAUGAUUUCAUCAUUCUUGAUUAGGGUUUUGAAAAUAUGGCUUUUCAAUCCGUUUCAUACAUUCUCCGGUUCCCUUUUGGGAGUAGUCGUGCACUACUCCCCGCCCCCUUCUCUCUCUCAACCGUCGUCUAGUUGAACAAUUCGUAACAGUCCCGACUCGUGCUUUUGCCGUCUGUCCCUUCUGCCUGAGAAUCUUGAAACGGUGCCGAUGUGGACCUCUUCCUCAACGGCAUCGCCGGCCCUCAACGGCCAUGGCCGAGGCUAGCGACCGGCCAAAGAAAAAAGAUAGAAGAAAAUGGAAGAGAGAGAAAAAAGUGUUCAUAAAUUUUGUUCCAGAAACAAUAAACAACUUUUUUUUUUCUUGUUUCCGUUCCAGAUGUGUUUCUGGAAACAAAAAAAUAAUUUUGGAACAAAAACGCAAACAAACGCGUUUCUAUUUCAAAAAACAAAAAUUUGUGUUCCUGGGAAUAGAAACACAUUUUAACAAACAGGCCAUUAGUAACUGUCCAAAAUUUCAAUUCCCAAAAUAGAAUUGCGUUUAGUAAUAUGCUCAAAAUUUCUACUCAAAAUCAUUUUCUUUUAAUUUUUAAAUAAUUUUAUUACUUUUUUCCUUUUUUUUCUUCUUUUCUUUUUUCCUUUCUCUCUCAUGUUCUUCUUCUUCAAGUGGCUAGUCGCCGGACCAGCGACCGGCUAGACGAGGGCUGGCAAUCUCAUCGAAAUGUUAAUAGCACUUAGCGAGGCUCGCCUAGCCUCACCGGUGCCUAGCCAGGCCUCGACGAGGCUGGGCAAGCCUCGUCGGUGGCCAGGCGGGCCUCGCCGAUGGCCGAGUGGGCCUCACCAGGGCUGGGCAAGGCCCCCCUGCUGGUGGCUAGGCUUGCCUCCGGCGAACUCGCUGGACCUCGCCCUGGCUUGGCAAGCCUUUGACAAGCUCGCCAGACCGGUUGUCAGCAACCAGCAAUAGUGGGUGGCGGACGGCAACCGCAGCGAUGGAUGAAGAGGAAGGAAAGGGAAGAAGAAGAAGAGAAAAUAUGGACUUGAUUCUUGGAUUUGUUCUCAAGAACAAGAAUCAACUUUUUCUUUUAAUUCUUGAUUAUGCUCCAAAUCCACUUCCCUAAAAAAAAAAAAUCCCAAAAACAAAAAUUUUACCAAACACGAUUCCGUUCCAAAAUUACUCCUGGGAACAAAAGAAUAAAAUUUGACACCGUUUGGCUGGUUACCAAACAGGUCCUUAGCAAGCUAAAGUUUUGAGUCCAACUCUUAACGAGAGCAUUUGUCUAGUGACUUAUAAUCUUUCUUUCUUCUACAUUCAAAUUUUCGUAACAACUUUUUUGAUAAACAUUCAAACUUCUGUCUUCUUGAUGCUGUUAUAAUCAGGGAAACGGAACUUUAGUGGGAAUGGAACUCAUUGCGGUGAUGCUAGAGGGAAGUUGAUGCUGACGAAUCUCACUGGAACAUGCGGAGGACAGAAAAUCUUAGAGCUGGGGAAAAUGAAUGGGUUUGGGAUUAAAUCUGGCUAAGUUAUUGCCCCGAAACUGACUCACCCAGGCCAUGGUCAGCUCUAAAGGGAACUCUAGAAAAAGAAUAAUGACUAAUGUUCUUUAUUGUUCAAGCAAAGAGACAUUUUCUAUCGGCUAAACCUUAUGCUUCUCACAUUCAAUGCUUGUGUUCCAUCUGAAGUUAUUUUUUACCACAUAAUUGUCGAAUGAUGGUUUUAAUUAGUGAUGGGCCUAAGUUGGCCCGUCUGCCCAUGCUGGGCCCAAAAGGCCCGGCCCACGGGAAUAGGGCCCGUAGAAGGGGAAGGUAUAAAAGGGAGGAGAGAGAGAGAGAGAAGACAACGCUUGGCUGAACGUACGUACGUUCUCUCCCUCGCUCUCUCUCCAAAAGGACAACAAGAACAGUAAGGCAAACGGCACGUUCUUCUUCCCUUCAAGGCGCCAUCGGAUCGAACAGGACCAGAAUUUCUUCUCGAUCUUUAGCAUUGGUGUCUAAUCUGUGGCUAACAAGGUACGCUCGAAUCCGUGGUGUGCUUUAUGAUCGGUGAUACGUGUUUUCCCGGGCUUCGUCUUCCGCAUUGAUUUAGGGGUUUGAUUGAGUGUCGAAUCCGGUUUUCGGGGAUCAGUCAUUCCCAACAUUGGUAUCAGAGCCCUAGUUCACGUUUUUCCCGAUCAAUUUGAUGUUUUUGAUUGAUCUUUCGCGAAAGAACUUCGGCCGUACGGAUCGGGGCGAAAAAUCCCGACACCCGAGCGCUGUUCGGCCAUUUUUCUGAGUUUUCGUAAGUCGAAAUUGAAUUCUGAAAGCACUGAGUGAAAGAGGUCGUCGAGACGAGUCCGGCGACAUGUUGUGCGUCGCCGAACGACGCCGCACGCACACACAUGCGCGGCCACAAGCCUCUGCGCGUGGGCGCCACGCGCCCGAAGCGCUGGCAAUGGCCAACGCGUGCGCCACACGCGCCGGUGACGAACCGGCACGUGCGUGCCGGCGACCGGCGAAACGGCACACGCCGGUCCGCGGACCAACGCGUGCUGACGUCACGUGAUGACGUCACCGUGACGUCAUCCAACGGUCGGUAACCGCUCGGAUGACGUCAUCGCCGACGACGUUUCGCCGGGCGGUUACUGGCCGGCGACCCGACCCAACGACGACCCGACCCGAACCGCGACGCCCGGCACGCCCGCGGCACGUGCCGGGUGACGUUUGCGUGACGUCAUCCCGCGCACGCGUGCGGCACGUGCGGACGGUUCGCCCGAACCAGCCCGACCGGUCUGCCCGGUCCGUCCGGCGACCGUUGACCCGUUGACCGACCGUUGACCGUUGACUUUGACUGUUGACCGUUGAUGAAAAAAAAAAAAGGAAUUUGUUUCUUUUUCAUAUAUGCCUAUGUGGUUUAUAUGUAAUCCAUUAUUUAUUCUGCAUUUGUUGCAUGAAUUUUGGAAAAUUAUGUGUUUUCCCUUAUGUUAAUUAUGGAUUAUAAGUGAUCCAUUUUUUAAUUCUGCAUUUGUUGCAGGAAUUAUGAUGCGUCAUGCACGAAUACCUACAAUCCCGAGAACGGACGAGGGAAAUGCAAGACUUAAAAGGCUGAUGACAGAGUUGGCUGAUUAUCGGUGGCAUAACGGUGAUUUAGUAUCACAUGUGGUCAAGGUCAAUAAGAUGAUACAGGAAAUCAUCAAUAAUGGUUAUCUUAUGCCGGAUUUUUAGAAGGUGCCGGCUUUGUUGAACACUCUUCCACCUGAAUGGCAAGCAGUGUUAGAUCGGCUAUGGGAGGUCAACGUGGUCCCGGGUUAUAGGAGGCUGGUGGAAGCUUUUGUAAGAGAGUACUAUAAGAUUGAGUUUGCCAAAACUUCAACCCUUAGAUUGUGCGCUACGUGGCGCAGAGUGAAUGCGCCUUGGUGGCGACAUGAAUGCUCUCCAAAAGUUUUUCCAUGGUUGGCAAAUGUGCCUUCAGUUUUCUCAGAUGUUUUGACUAAUAGAUUAGAAUGGACAUUCCCUAAUUAUUUCUUAGAUUAAUUGUGGGAUUUUUUUUUAUGGAUGUAAAUAUCUCUUUCCAUGUUGAUAUUUUUCUCUGUAUAUAUUGCUUAGUGUAAUGUAUAGUUGUAUUAUGUGAAAGCACUAUUAUUCUAUUGGAUGUUAGAUAAUAUUUGCUUUCUGUUACUGCUGAUUGCUGUGGGUAGUUAGCUGUGGGUAGUUCAUAGAAGUUUUUGUAGCUUCAUAGAAUUGUUUUUGCAUAUGACAAUCAUAUUAAUGAUAGUUUUAAGUUAGGAUUUUUGGAGGAUGAUUGGAAACGUAGUGACCUUUUGAUUCUGAAACCUUACUUGAAAUUAUUCAUUAAUAUGAUGGGUCUAUGCAAAUAGGGAUGCAUAAAUGAUAGGCAUUAAUUAUUCGUGCACAUAUGUCUGAUGUGUUCAGAUUGAUGGAUUCAGCAACUAAGAACGUAAUUGCUGAUGUGAACGGCAACAAUUGUGAAAUAUUGAAUAUGAAGAUUCAAUAUGUGCUGGAAAAGCAAGAAGCACUAGAAGCUCUUGACCAUGUUAUGGAAGAUCUUGAGGAUGCUGUGCGCCACCUUGAGUUGGUAGAGGACCGCUUAACGGCAUGUGAGCUGAAAAUAAAUAUUUGCAAUGCUGGUUCUAGCUCAGAAAGGGCUUUGAGCUCUAAGCGCAAGCGUAUUGAUUCGUUCAAUAUGUGGGAAUGCAAAGGAUCAAGUCCUUAUUGCAAGAGAUAAAGAGUUAACCAAUACAAGAGAGGAAAACGUCCUCAAGUUAAGAAAAUGUCAAGGGUGAGGUGUUACAAUUGUGACAAGAAAGGUCACUAUGCUCGCGACUGUCGUGAGCCAAAGAAAGUAAACACCUCUUGUACAUUUGAAAACUUUACUUUUGUGUCAAAUUCUGUAUUAUUAGCUGAAUUCAAUCCUUUGUGAACUGUAGAUUCAGGAGCAACAGACGAUGUAGCGAAAGAUAAAGGAUCCUUCGUGGAAUUCCGACGAAUACCAACUGGAACUAAGUGGAUCUAUGUGGGAAACAGCUCCAGAGUUGAAGUUAAAGGGAUUGGCACCUGCCAACUGAACAUGUGUGGUGGACGCACCUUGUUCCUACAUGAUGUUCUAAAUGCUCUGGAGAUUUGUCGAAAUUUAAGUGUCUGUUUUGAUGUUGGUUAAGCUUGGUUUUGAUAUGAACUUCCAUAAAUAAAGUGUAGAUUUGUGUUUAGAUACAAACUACUAUGGUUGUGGUCACUUUCUAGAUGGUUUUAUUGUACUAAAUGUUGACUGUGGUGAUGUCAAUAUGUUAUUCCCUUGUUUCACGUCUUUUACUUCAUGUGAUAAUGAUGUGAAUGUGUGGCAUGCUAGACUUGGUCAUAUUGGCCAACAACAUAUGAAUAGACUUGCCAAAGAGGGCUUGUUGGGCAAUAUUGAAUAAGUCGAUUUGUCCAUAUGUAAGCAUUGCUUAGAAGGGAAAACGACAAGGAAACCAUUUGGAAAAGGUAAAAGAGCUGACAUUCCUCUGCAUUUAAUCCAUUAUGACGUUUGUGGUUCAAUGAAUGUGAGAGGAAUGCAUGGGACUGUUUACUUCAUCACUUUUAAUAGAUGAUUAUACUCGAUUCGGAUGUGUCUAUUUGAUUUCUCAUGAAUCUGAAGCAUAAGUUGUUUCAAAAGGUUUAUGAACUUGGUUGAAAAUCAAUUAGACAAGAAAAUAAAAGCAUCGAGAUCUGAUCGAGGUCGAGAAUAUUUAUCUGAAAAGUUCAGAAAAUUAUGUGAUGAAAAAGGAAUAGAAAGACAGUUGUCUAUUCCAUAUACUCCUCAACAAAAUGGUGUUGCGGAGAGAAGAAACAGAACCCUACUGGAAAUAGUUAGGUCCAUGAUGGCGCAUGCUAACUUAGAUAUCACUUUUUUGGAGUGAUGCGUUGUUAACUGCUGUCUAUAUACUUAACCGAGUGCCUUCCAAAUCAGUUAGUUCCACUCCAUAUGAGUUAUGGACAGGUAGAAAACCAGACUUAAGUUUUCUUAAGCCAUGGGGUUAUGCUGCCUAUACUCAUGAGUCCUCUCACAAGUUUGGGAAAUUGAGUCCCAGAUAAAAGAAGAGUAUUUUCAUGAGAUACUCCGAACACUCGAAAGGGUAUAUGUUCAUAGGUGAGCAGGAAAGUGGGAGUAUGACUAAAUUUGAAUCACAGGAUGUCACAUCCUUAGUGGAUGAAUUUCCUAAGAAGGGCGAAAUAGGGGAAGAUUAGUCCCUAUUUGAAACCUUGGAUCAAGAUAAUGAUAUUAAUGGAGUUCGUCCAAGUGGGAGUAAUAUGAGAAGUGAUGAAUUGAAUUCAACUCAUUCUCAAUUACAACCACAUGAUGAGAUGAUAUCGUCAUUAUUUAAUCCGAGUGGGAGCAUAAUGGGGAAUGAUGUGCUAAAGUGUACAAUCUCCCAUAUAGCGAACAAGUCGCCAAAGGAUUCCCCGUCAACGUUUUGACAUUGAAGGGGAAACUUCUAAUGAUUGCUCCACAAAAUGAGGAUGAGCCAAGAAAUAUUAAUGAGGCUCUGAAUUGCCCUAGUAAGAAAAAAUGGAUUUAUGCAAUGAAAGAGGAGAUGGAGUCAAUGAAGUCAAACCAAGUCUGGGAACUGGUUGAUCUUCCAAAAAGGGGACGCAAAGCUAUUGGGAACAAGUGGGUUCUCAAAAUAAAGCAAAAGGCUGAUGGCUCGAUAGAAAGCAUAAGGCUCGCCUUGUGGCGAAGGGGUAUAAUCAACAGAAAGGAAUUGAUUAUGAAGAUACAUUUUCUCCUGUAGAGGGAUUUACCUCGAUUCGCAUUAUUCUGGCAAUAGUGGCUAGUAUGGAUCUUGAGUUACAUCAAAUGGAUGUAAAGACUGCUUUCCUCAAUGGAGAAUUAGAGGAAUAAAUAAAUAUGGAACAACCUGUUGGUUUCAUAGUGAAAGACCAAGAAGAAAAGGUAUGUCGACUUUGGGGGUCGAUAUAUGGCCUUAAGCAGUCGUCAAGACAAUGAUAUAUACGUUUUCAUAAUGCCAUAAUAGCAUAUGAUCUUACAAUGAUAGAUGAGGAUCAUUGUAUAUAUAUCAAAAGAUCCAAGGAUCAAUUUGUGAUCAUAUCAUUAUAUGUUGAUGAUAUAUUAAUUGCCGGAAGUAAUAUGGAGUUUGUUCAUACUGUCAAAAGUUGGUUGUCUUCCAAUUUUGAGAUGAAUGAUAUGGGAUUGUAAACACAUAAACACUCCUAUUGCAAAAGGUGAAGGAUUGAGCCAUAGACUGUGUCCAAGGACUCCACAAGAGAAGGAACAAAUGAAACAUGUUCCUUAUGCUAGUGCUGUUGGGAGCUUGAUGUAUGCUAUGAUGUGUACAAGACCUGACAUAUGUUAUGUAGUUGGAAUGGUGAGUAGAUACCAAUCCAAUCCAGGUCAAGCACGUUGGAAAGCCGUUAAAAAAAUACUAAGGUAUCUAAAGGGGACUGCUGAUUAUACGCUGAGUUAUUAUGGAAAGGAUCUGCGACUCUAAGGCUAUUCUGAUGAUGAUUGGGGAGGAGAUUUAAAUAAAAGGAAAUCUACCUCUAGGUUUGUUCUCUUACCGAAUAAUGGCACCAUGUGUUGGAGCAGUAAGAAACAAAAGUGUAUAGCCUUGUCCAUGAUGGGAAUUGAGUUCGUGGCAUUAUCAGCAGCAGUAUAAGAAGAUGUUUGGCUUAAGAGAUUUUUUGGAUCAUUUAGGUGUUAUUGGAAGUGCUGCAGAUUAAUUGUUGGUUAAUUAUGAUAGCCAAGCAGCAAAAGUGUACACCAAAGAUCCAAAAUAUCAUGACAAUACCAAACAUAUAGAUACCAAGUAUAAUUUUGUCAUGGAUAUGAUUGCACGAAAAGAUGUGAACUUAUAGUACAUACUACGCAUAGAAUGGUAGCAGAUCCUAUGAUAAAGCCAAUACCUAGAGAUGUGUUUUGUGGCUAUAUGAAAUCUCUAGGAUUGCGUAGAGGCUGAUGUACUGAAUAUUGUAAUUUCCCUAAGUGUUCACAAUUUGAUGAAUUUGUGUUUUCAUCAUUAAUGCCUAUGAAUCUUUGUUUGAUCUUUAUGCAUCUUAAUGCUCAGUGCAUUACUUUAAGUUAAGAGAAGUAUGUCGGACAGAUAUAAGAUUAGCCCACUCACACGGGUAAUCGCCUCUAUUUACUGUGUGAUAAAUAGAGAUGAGACUGUUUUUAAGCUUAUUAUCUAGGUGAUAAUCGAGAGCUCAAGCUUAAAACACGUAUGUCACCUUAACUAAGUGUUAAGAUGGGGACAUAAUACUUACUAUGUCCGAAAGUAAAAUACCCCACAUAUUUUACUUUAUCUGUUUAAGAUGCCAAAUGUGAGUUCUGAUGAAUUUUGUAAAUGAGUAGAUACGUGAACUCAAGUUAGACAUUGGGUAUGUCUGAACUAUCAUCUGUACGGUAUUGAAAGGUGUAGACAUACGCUCCAUGGGAAAGGAGUUGAUACCGUAAUACGUAUUUCAUACUACGUAUGCAUGAGACGACUAAUAAGAGUGGCAAAAGUUUGAUCUCAACUUUUUUUUUAUGUCGUGUGAGACUCUUGAGGAAAAGAGUUCCUCAAUUUUUUAGUCCCCUCAUGACUCUUACUUAUUCUCAAGAUUUCUAUUUAGUGUUUGCUAUCUUAGGAUGUUGCCAAUGGUCAUGAGUUUCAUUCGAUCUAAUGGGGCAUUUCUAGAAAAGCAAGCUGAACUGAAAUUGAGAGUUUGAAGGAAAGAGGAAGAUCGAUUUUGGAGAAUCACAUUGUAGUUUUGUAUUCACCGGUUAACCAAUUAUGACUGUCUUUGGGAUAAUCAUAAUUGUGAAUACAAUAUAUAUAUAUAUAUAUAUAUAUAUAUAUAUAUAUCAUUGUUUAAAAGAGAUCAAGAGAGAUAUAAAUGUGAUCAAUCGAUCUAGGGAACUGCAUACUAAAUCUACUCGGAGUGUGAUGCCCAUUAUGAGCUGCUAUAUAUUCCUAACAGAUGUAUGGCAACGAGCUCUCAAAGUAUGCUAGUCGCACGGAUUAUUCACUGGUAUGAAUGUUGAAGAGAGGUAAAGAGAAUUCUGUUCGGCCCACCAUGUGCGAGUGGGAGAUGAUGGUUUUAAUUAGUGAUGGGCCUAAGUUGGCCCGUCCGCCCAUGCUGGGCCCAAAAGGCCCGGCCCACGGGAAUAGGGCCCGUGGAAGGGGAAGGUAUAAAAGGGAGGAGAGAGAGAGAGAGAAGACAACGCUUGGCUGAACGUACGUACGUUCUCUCCCUCGCUCGCUCUCCAAAAGGACAACAAGAACAGUAAGGCAAACGGCACGUUCUUCUUCCCUUUAAGGCGCCAUCGGAUCAAACAGGACCAGAAUUUCUUCUCGAUCUUCAGCAUUGGUGUCUAAUCUGUGGCUAACAAGAUACGCUUGAAUCCGUGGUGUGCUUUAUGAUCGGUGAUACGUGUUUUCCCGGGCUUCAUCUUCCGGAUUGAUUUAGGGGUUUGAUUGAGUGUCGAAUCCGGUUUUCGGGGAUCAGUCAUUCCCAACAGUUGACAACCUAAUUUGACCAAUAAACGCAGUACAUCUAUAUAGUAUCUGGAGAGCAGCUGUUGUUGCUAGCUAAGGAUUACAUCAAGUAUCUUUUUAGUGGAUGUUUGAGUGUUAGGUCAACCCGUGCGAUACCCCAGUGAGGAAGAUUUUACAACGAGCUAACAGAGAAGAAAGAGGUUGAUCAGUAUUGGUUAGUGUUGAAAAUUGAGAUCCAUUUUCUAAAACUAGCUAAUUUCUUCUAUUGUAAUCUAGAAGCUCCUAAGUAAAGGUUUUGGUAGUGGAAGUUGUGGUCUAACAAUGUCCAAGUUAAGAGAUGUUUGGAUGAAUGGCCGUGGACAGUUGUAAAGCAAAAAUAUCUCUGACAAAAGCAGGAAUCUUUCCUUGAAGAAUACGGUGGGUGGCUUUAUGAGUAAAGCAAGAACUAGUUUGUGUAAGGUGGUGGAAGCAUCAGAUAAACUCCAGCCACGUGAACAUCCCGUCCUACAAUUAUGUAACGCCACAUUUCUAUCAAAUAAAUAAACGAUAUUCUUGUCUCAUAAAUCUUUUUCUAUAUUCCUCAGAGUAUUCAUCCUUGUCCAUUCCCCUACAUCAACUAUACCAUAAACAUAUACAUUUACACAUACAAACAAAAAAAUAUCAUUGAUAUCAAAGUCAUUCUUCGGCACAAUCUCACAAUUUCCAACAGUUAGAGAAGGCGAUAAUUAAUAUCCCGACCUAGUGGGACGGUCCUGAGAAGUAGAGGCGCAGGGAGAGAAUAUAGACAAGAUUUGUCUUCCAGCUAUGAUAAUGACCUCUGAACAAUUCAUCUUCGUCUUCCCCAGUCAUUUUAGAUGGAACAGCGAUAUCAUUCCACGGUUCUAGUUUUGCAGUGAUCCGAAGCUUGAUCUUGGUAGACGAUGAGAAAGCUGUCUUGUGUAGUUGUUACACCAUCCGUCAUGGAAUUUUCGUGCAAAAUUUAACAAGAACAAGGUCAGAUGAAUGAAGGAUUGAAGUCUAUGUCAUUCUGUUUUGUUGCAGUAUGAAUGACUGAGUUCAAGUUGAUUCAAAGCGUUAGAGCAAUUGGGACUUGAUAGGCUGCUUCAUCGGGUGAGGACUUCUUCGUUCCAACUUUUUCUGUCCCUUUUGAUUCGUUUUCAUUUCUGCUAUUGAUUUCGUCAUUUUGAGCUUAGGUUGCUACCUAAUAGGCAGAAUUUUUGUAACAUUUGAUAUGAUAUGCAAAUACACAUUACUUGUGUAUAUCUCGAAAAUUCCCACAUUUAGACACUGCUUUAGGCUGGCUUCCAAAAAAAUGCCCUUCUAUUAAUCUUCCGAGCGUUAAAAACUACAAAUACAAACUAAAAAAGUCAGAUUGUGAGAGCAACUUCCGUUUGCUCUUUCUUUUGUUUUGCAUUGCAUAUUGGUCCUUCCCCUAUUUUUGCAUGCUGACAGCUAAUCAUAAACACCAAGUUGCUUCAAAGGUUAUGGUUGAAACAAGCAUAUACUGAAAUGUAGAGGCAAAAGAAAUUAUGUAGGUUCUCGAAACUCUGGUGGUUGACCGCAGGGACAUCACCCGAUCCCGGUAUGUUGAGCUUUUUGAUGGCAAUGAUUUGGCUGCUGGCCAGUUCAAUCCUGUAAACGCUCCCGAACCAGCCCUUCCGAUGCAGUACUUUUCACUGCAGUCAUUGGUAGCCUUGGCGAUGUCAUUGAAUGUGAACUUCCCUUCCCUUCCCCAUAUGAUCGACUUGGAUUGCUCUUGCUUCACAAGACUCUUGAUCUCUUCAUCGAAUUCCUUGUUUCGCCACCAAAGUGCCAGAAUCACAGCAAUUGAAAUCACCAGAAAUAGUAAGCAGCAGAUGCCCAGGGUCACACCAAAAAAAACCUUUUCCCUAUGGUCGGUCGAUUUACGCUCAUCCCACAAGGAGAUAAUCCGGUCGUGUUUCCACACAAACCUAGAUUCGCGAUUAAAGCACUUCCCUGUGCUUGUUGGGAGAGGCGACCACUACGAACCACACUAAUUGGCUUGUUGCACGAUAAGUCUGUUGAGCUUCAACUCCUCAUGUUGGUGAGAGGAGCUGGGAUCGUAACCGACAAUUUGUUAUGCAAAAGAUUGAGAUUUUCCAAUUCAGUGAACUUUGCUAAAUUGGAAGGAAUUGAUCCUGCUAGAGAAUCAUGGCUCAGGUUCUCCUCUGUAGCGUGAACAAGUUCCCCAGCUCUGGCGAUAUGACAUCCAACAUAUUGUUGUUGCUCAAGUUCAAGCUCAGUAAAUUCUUGCAAUUCGCUAGCUCUUCCGCUAUGCUACCGCUCAAUGCCUUCUCCCCGACAAAUCAAGAUAUUCUAGCUUCAAUAAGUUUCCUAACUAGGUGGGAAUAUCUCCAGCCAAAUGGUUGUAGCUCAAGUUCAGCCUAAUCAACGCCCCCAGACUUACCAAAUCAUCAGGAAUUUUCCUGGUCCAUUCAUUGCCAUAUGGAGUCAGAUCGUGCAAUUGAGACAAUUUAUUAAUCUCCGGCAAGAUGCGGCUGGGGAUUUUGUUACCAUCUAUCUGCAAAUUCGUGACAUUCGUGCACUCUCCCCAUUCUGCAGAGAGAUUCCCGACAAAUCGGUUGUUGCUGAGGACCUGAGGCUUAUAAAGUCCGGAUUCAGAUAAACUCCAAACGCACUCAUGACAUCUGCGGUGAACCGAUUGCUGUCCAGACGGACUCUCGUUAGCCCCGGACAAUUCCUAAGCAGUUGGGCAGCGGCUAGGUGAAGUUAUUCCCAUCGACCACGAGAUAUCAAAGAGCAAAGCCGCUGCAUAUAUCUGGCGGCAGCUCUCUGGUGAAGCUGUUGUUCGAAAAGUUAACAUUGCCCAGAGAAUGGCUGUACUUGCCAAAAUCACGGGGUAUGCCUCCCGAGAAAGUGUUCAUGAACAAAGAGAUGGACUGUAAGUGAUGCUACAUCAUGGCUUUUUCCUUCCCAGCCCUGAUCUCCUCUUCUUCAACUUGAAGUGCCUCCUUGGUGGUAUACUUGCUGGUCAUCUUGCAAACCGACCUUCAUCACUGACAGCCUCUCAAACUUGACCUCGUAAUCAAUCGACUCGAGUUUGUCCUCUAAUGUGUCACCUUCGAUUAUCGUCUACCUACACACGAAGUUCUCCUUGUCGAGCUCAUUGAUCCGGUGCUUCACAUUCUUGAAAUGACUAGCUGCAUUUGUGACCAAACAAGACUUACAUUAUGAAACUCCCGGCUUGACGAGUGUCUGUUGAGUGUUCGUACCUUCGGCGAUAUUAACUUGCUCGAUGCUCCCGGCUCCUCCGUUGCCUUGCACGAGCUCCACGCUCUUUAUGAACUGAGGCAGGAGCUUUGGGAUCAGGGAAUUCAACCCGACGAUCAAGGCCUUGAACAUGUGAGCUGGAGCAAUCGGGCACGUGAGCUCUUGUGUGAUGCUGGUUGCACCCAUGGCUAUUGGCAAUGAGAAAGAAAUAACCCCAGAGAAGUUCGUGCUUCUGAGUCCUGUCAAUGCCUCCUAUUUAUGGUUAGAAUUAUGCGAAUAGGUAGGCUUGGUUUGGCAAGAGUCACGUUUGAGGAAAAUAGAAGAGUCGAGGAUUCGCGGCCUAAAGAAAUAUAUAAUAAGAAUGUACUUUUCCUUAAUGAUUUUACUUAUUGCGGUUCAUGAAAAAUUGUGCCACCUUGAUAUGUUUCGAUGAUCGAUCCGGAUCGAGCGGGAUCGAUAGUCCAUAUUCGAAAUAUUAGGCCACAGUUUACCAUGAAUUCAUUUCACUCAUGUAUCCUCUCCAUGUAGCGCAGUUUACCAAAUGCCAUAAAAACCACUACACCAGAUUCCUGUCACAUCUUUCAUUCUCUUAUUCUCAGCAAAGACUGGAACAACAACAAUCACCAGCCCAACAUGCUUUAACUUCGAACACCAAGUGACUCAAACGCUUCUUGUCUUCUAUUUAGUUUUGCCCAACCGGACAAUAAAAGAUAGCGACGAGAUCGGCGCAACAGGCAUCAGCGUUUGCCACGACAGAAGCCUCUAUGGCCUUGACCAUCGCGUCCACCUUCUCUUUCCCGGCCUUGAUCUCCUCCUCGGUGAUAUUCACCUCGCCAAUGGUGAAGUACUUGCUCAUGCACUUCAACACCGAGCCUCCCUCGGGCGACGCGGUGAUCUUCACCUCGUAGCUGAUCUUCUCAAAGGCGGUGCCCAGCGCAUCACCCUCGAUGAUUGAGUAACAGUAGGUGAAGUUCUCCUUGUUCAAGGCCUAGACCUUGUGCUUUGCCGUCUUGUACCGACUGCCGAUCAGAGUAACAAAAAGUAACAUUCACAUUUAGAACUUGCCGGUUUCAACAUUGUGAGCACCGAUCUUGAUGGUGUAGAAUCGGCCAUUCAGGAAUUAGCCCCCAGCCACAAUCCAAUACUAUUAACUUAGACAUGGCCUGAUUUUGCCUUAUCGAAAUCAGGUCACAUGAUCACAUGUGUAAAUUUAAACAGUUAGAAACGUCUUAAUUAAUCAAGUCAUAUAUCUAUAUUUUUCAAUCAAGUCAUAUAUCUAUCAUUAAGGAAUUAGCCCCCAGCCACAAUCCAAUACUAUUGACUUAGACAUGGCCUGAUUUUGCCUGAUCGAAAUUGGGGCACAUGAUCACUUGUGUAAAUUUAAACAGUUAGAAACGUCUUAGUUACUAUCUAUCUUUUUUAAUGUCCAUUAUAGUGUUCCAUAAGGUUGAACCCGCCUUGAUUUGGAGCAAUCCUAAGUUCCUAAUAUGGAUGGACUAACCUUCGCAGAAAGUCAUCAACUUGAUGGUCCCGGGACCUCCAUCGCCCUUGAAGACUUCAAUGCUCUUGAUGUCUUGUGGGAGGACCUUGUUGAUGAGGUUAUCGGCGUCAAGGAGAGUGGCCUCAAACAUCUCGGCCGGAGGGAUUGGGGACGUAAGUGAUGACACCCAUGACUGGAUCCGAACAAAGGUGCAGAAACUGAGAAGAGGGUGAUGAUUAGGAAAGACUUAGUAGUGAUGAAUUUGGUCUCUAGGACUUGGGAGUGAAGGAAGGAGGCCGAAUUGAAGAAGACAUAUGUAGAGAGACUGAGUGUGAAGGGUUAUGAUUUCUGAAUAUUUUCUUCUUUCUCAGGUGGGUUUUGCAGAAAAUAAAUAAUUUAAAAAAUAUUUUCCUAAAAUUAAUCGUCAAAUUUGGAUAGUGUUUCCAAGCAAGAGUUAUUUGGUGAGUGUGCUGCAUAUUGUAAAUUGAUCUAAAUCCAUAUAGAACUCACAAGAAUUACAAGCCUAUAUCUCCUUAAUAUAAAUACGAUGAAAAAAUGCUACCUCAUUUCCGAAUUUUCGUCAAAAUUGUGCUAUAUAUACUAUGUUAAUCUAAAUUGCUAAAUUCAAUGGGCUCACGUGGGAUCCAUACAAAACUCACCAGAGUUAAAAGUUUUGAUUCCGCUUAAUAUGAAUACAGUGCACUUUCGUCAAAAUUGUGUUGUCUAUACUAAAUUGAUUUAAAUCACUAAAUCUGAUGGGUUCAUGUGAGACCCAUAUGGAACUUACUAGAAUUAAAAAUCCAAAUUCAGCUUAAUAUAAAUACAACCUAGCUCAUUUAUGAGUCUUCAUUAAAAGUGUGUUGUAUGUCCUACAUUGAUCUAAAUCGCUAAAUAUGAUGGGUUUGCGUGGGAUCCAUAUAGAACUUACUAGAAUUAAAAGUCCAAAUUCCCCUUGAUAUAAAUACGACACUACCUCAUCUCCAAGUCUUCGUCAAAAUUCUGCUAUAUGUACUAAGUCAAUCUAAAUCGCUAAAUUUGAUGGGUUCACGUGGGAUCCAUACGAAACUCACUGACAUUGAUUCCACUUAAAAUAAAUAUGAUGCUCUUUCAUUGAAAUUGCGUUGUAUGUACUAAAUUGAUUUAAAUCACUAAAUAAGAUGGGUUCAUGUGGGACUUAUAUGGAACUCACUGGAAUUAAAAGUCCAAAUUCCACUUAAUAUAAAUUUGACCCUAGCUUAUUUUCGAGUCUUCGUCAAAAGUGUAUUGUGGGUUCAAGUGAGAUCUAUAUGAAACUCAUUGGAAUUAAAACUCCAAAUUUCUCUUACUAUAAAUAUGAUGCUAUCUCAUUUCCGAGUUUUCAUCAAAAUUAUGUUGUAUAAGCUAAUAUACGGGUUUGUUUUAUUAUUAUGACUUUUGAGAUUCCCUUUCAUGGAUCAGUUUGAUAAAGAAUCGAAAUUUCCUUUUGACCCAAAAAAAAAAAAAGUUAAUCUAAAUCACUAAAUUUUAUGAGUUUACAUGAGACCCAUAUAAAACUCACUAAAAUUAAAAGUCUAGAAUCCACUAGAUAUAAAUACGAUGCUAGCUCAUUUCCAAAUCUCCAUCAAAUGCCUUUUUAUCAUCAUUUUGAAGCUUCUGAUCGCACCCCACUCUGUCACACGUGAAUUGGGAAUGAUUUUCGACGCCAAAGUCUUCGUUAAAUCUCAUAAAGAUUGAGCCAACGUGGAACAACAACUCAAUUGUAAGCAUCGGGGUUUUGCAAGAGAUGGGCUCCAAUGGCUUUCAACAUUCCCAUGGCCUUCUAUUUGCUAGCCUUGUUCUCGAACCUGUCCUUGGCGAAGUACUUGCUCGUGCUCUUGCACGUGCACCCUCUCUGUCUGGACUUGAUCUCGUUCGAGAUCUUCUCUAGCACGUCGCCCUCCACAAUGAUGUAAGCGUGCGGGAGCUUUCCUUGUCCAGCUUGUCGACUGGUGCUUCACCGAGUUGAACCGUGUAGCCGCGACACAGAAAACUGUAGUCAGCUCCCACGUUAGUCUUAUCUAAGAAUGUCAGGCAAAUAUGUUGACAUCACAUGUUGAUGUGUGAUCAAAAUGAGUGAAAUUAGAAGACGCGCAGGUACUCGCCUUCGCCGAAAACGAUGCGAUGGUGACGGGACCGCCGUCACCUUCAAGGGUGACAAAAUCCAGAUUGGCUUGUAGGAGGAGCUUGGGGAUGAGAUUUUUAUCAAGAUCAAAUGCCUUGAACAUUCGUGCAGGUGGGAUGGAAUGCGUCUUAGCCUAAGAUUUCCAAGUCCCAGGGCAAGAGAUGUGAGAUUAUGUUGAAAUGCCCUUUAAAUGAUUCUCAAUCUCCUCGUUUAGUAAUCUAAAUCAGCAUCACAAUGUUCUUAAAUAAUACAAUAAAAAAAGAGGACAAAAGGCAUGGAUCUCAAGCCCAAAUUAUACUUAUUAGCAUGCGAGAGACCUUUGAAUGCUGACACCCUUGAGGGUGGGAAUUCACUAAAUUAUAAUUUAAAUAUUCUAACGGCGCCAACGGCUCGGACAGGAAAGCUUGAGUACGUGCGGAUAAUUCUUGCGCAACGAAAUGCAUGGUAAGUCACGAAUCGAGACUCAUCCGCAUACACGCUAUUGCGACCAUGACCAUGAAUACCACUUCCUUGACCAGUUGGCCAGUCGGAGGAGGAAGAUGUGGGUUGAGCAUAUCCUAUAGUGGCACAUUUGAGUCUUUGAAUAAUGUCGACAUUUGUGUCAUUUGUAGGGAAGAGAGAAGAUUCCGGGAUGCUUCCUCAUCAUUCUCUAGCAUCGGUACUUUUACUGUUGACUCUGUUUCAUGAAAGAAGAAUGAAUCAAUGUUUUGAUCACAACCUCAAGUUGCCUACAAAUUCCAAAUUUUUGAGAUUCUGUUAAUACAUACCACUUUUCAAAAUCUGUACUUGCUCUUCCUAAAAGUCUUGUUAGAAGUAUUGGAUGAAUCCAAAUUCAAUAUGUCAAUUGAAGGUAUUUGAUCAACCCGAGACCAUAGGUACAGGGGGAAUGUACUGAUUAGAUUUGAUCAUGUAGCUUACCAGGAACCAUGUAGCCAUAAGAUCCAGCCACUGGGAUCCAAUUCGACGAAUCCGAAUUCAAGAGCCUCACUGUCCCAAAAACCAAAAGCCAAGGCUCGAAGUCCGACUCGAGCAAGAUGUUGUUCAACAUCAUGUUCCGAUGGACAAUAGGCAGUGAGCAAUUGUGAUGCAAGUAGGCGAUCACGGGAGCCACGCAUUGAACAAUCUUCACUCUCUUAACACAAGUCCAAUUCAACUGCUCCGCUUCCUCCAUGCAAGACCUUUGCCAAAGUUCACAAAAGAUUGGAUGAUGUCCCUGCGGUUAACCACCACUUUUUUUUACCAUGACGAUGUGGCCGCUGGCCUAUUCGGCCUUGUAAACGCUUCUGAAUCCACGUUUUCCGAUGCAGUACUCUCCAUUGAAGCCGUUGGUGGCCUUGGCAAUAUCGUUGAAUGCAAACUUCAUUCCCCUUUCCCAUAUGAUUUCACGUACUUCAUAAGAUUUCUUAUCUCUUCAUCGAGAUGCUUGUUUCACCGCCAAAGCACCAAAAUCAGAGCAAUAAGAGUCACGAGAAGUAGUAAGCAGCAAACGCAACAAUCACAUUAAUCAGAACCUUUCUCCGAUGGUCAGUCGAUUUACUGCUCGACCCACAUGGAGACAUUCCGUCGCGUUUCCUCACAAGCCCGGAUUUGCAAUAAAAGUACUUCCUAGUUAUUGUUGGAAGAGGCGACCACCAAGAACUGCGCCUGUCAACUUGUUGUACAAGAAGCCCAUGAAGCUUAAACUGCUCAUGCUGGUGAGAGUAGCUGGGAUCGUACCCAACAAAUCGUUAUGCAAAACGUUGAGAUUUUUCAAUUUAGUGAGCUUUGCUAAAUUGGAAGGAAUUGAUCCUACUAGUGAAUUGUGGCUCAGGUCUAGUGGUUCUGUAGCGUGAACGAGUUCCCCAGCUCUGGCGACAUGACACCCAACAGAUUGUUGUUGCUCAAGUUCAGGCUCAGUAAAUUCUCGCAAUUUGCUAAUGCUUUUGGUACGAUCCAUAGAGAAGGGAUGUACUUGCCGUAUUGUGGUUUAUGAAAGAUUGUGCCACAUUGAUAACUUUAGAUGUUAAUCCAAAUUCGAAAUAUCAGGCCAAAUUUUGGUAUUUUAUUGGCCAUUUGGCAUUUCAUUUGUAACUCAUGAAUUCUCUCCUCGUAAAAAAAUUACUAAAUUAGAGAAUUUCAUUCUACAAGCCUUGUAUAAACAUGUAGCAUAGUUUAUCAAAUUCCACAAAACCACUGCACCAGAUUCCUAUCACACCUUUUAUUCUCUUAUUCUCAGCAAAGACAAGAACAACAAUACUCACCAGCCCAACAUGCUUAGCUCCAAACAGAGUGACUCAAACUCUUCUUGUCUCCUUUUCAGUAUAGCACAACCACACAUAUUUAACGCAUUACGUAAACAAUACAAGAUAGCGAAAAGAUAGGCUCAGUAGGCAUCAGGGUUUGCCAAGAGAUAAGCCUCGAUGCCCUCGUACAUCGCGGACACCUUCUCUUUCCAGGUGUUGAUCUCCUCCGCGGUGAAGUAACUGUCCGUGCACUUCAACAUCGAGCCUCCCAAAGGCAACGCGUUGAUCUUCACCUCAUGGGUGAUCUUCUCGAAGGUGGUGCCCAGCAUUUCGCUCUCGAUGAUUGAGUAGCGGUAGGUGAAGUUCUCCUUGUCCAGGGCCUCGACCUUGUGCUUCGCUGUCUUGAACGGAUUGCCUAUCAAUGUAACAAAAAGUCACACUCACAUUUAGAACUCGCAGGUUUCAAUAUCACGAGCACCAAUCUUCAUGGUGUCCAUCAGGCCAUUUAGGAAUUAACCCAAUUGUUCCGACCGCAAUCCAAUACAAUUGACUUAGACAUAGCCUGACUUUGCCUGAUCAAAAUUGAGUCACAUAAUCACUUGUGUAAAGUUAAACGGUUAGAAACAUCUUAAGUAAUCGAGUCAUAUUUCUAUCUUUUUCCAUAUUCAUUUUAGUGUUCCAUAAGGUUGAACCUACCUUGAUUCAAAGCAAUCCUAAGUUCCUAAUACGGAUGGACUAACCUUCGGCAAAAGUCAUCAACUUGAUGGUCCCGGGACCUCCAUCGCCCUCGAGGACUUCAACGCUCUUGACGGCUUGUGGGAGGACCUUGGGGAGGAGGUUAUCGGCAUCGAGGAUAGCGGCCUUGAACAUCCUGGCCUGGGGAAUGGGGGAUGGGAUAUCGAAGUGAAAAGUGAUGACACCCAUGACCGGAUCUUACUAGAGUUGCUGAAACUGAGAAGGGGGUGAUGAUCUGGAAAGACUUGAGUAGUAGUGACGAAGUUGGUCUCUGGGACUUGGGAGUGAAGAGAAGAGGCUGAAUUGAAGUUGACAUAUAUAGAGAGAGGGAGAUUGAGUGUGAAGGGUUCUGAUCACUGCAUAUUUUUUUCUUACUAAGAUGCAUUAUAUUUUGCGGAAAAUAAAUAAUUUAGAAAAUAUUUUCCUAAAAAUAAUCACUAAAUUUAGAUAGUGUUCUGAGCAUAAGUUAUUUGGUGAGUGUGCUGCAUGUUCUAAAAUGAUCUAAAUUGCUAAUUUAAUGGGCUCACUAGAAUUAAAAGUCUAGAUUCCCCUUAAUAUAAAUACGACACUACCUCAUUUUCAAGUCUUCAUCAAAAUUGUGUUGUAUAUAAAUAUGACCCUAGCUCAUCUCCGAGUCUUUAUCAAAUGUGUGUUGUAUGUCCUAAAUUGAUCUAAAUCUCUAAAUCUAACAGGUUCACGUGGGAUAAAUGUGGAACUCACUAAUUAAAAGUCUAGAUUCUCCUUGAUCUAAAUACAAUGCUAUGUCAUUUCGAAGUUUUCGUCAAAAUUGUGUUGUAUAUACUAAGUUAAUCUAAAUCGCUAAAUUUGAUGGGUUCAUGUGGGAUCCAUAGGAAACUCACUGAAUUAAAAGUUUAGGUCAACUUAAUACAAAUACAGUUUUCUUUCAUCAAAGUUAUGCCGUAUGUACUAAAUUAACCCAAAUUGCUAAAUCUGAUGGGUUCAUGUGGGACCUAUAUAAAACUCACUCGAAUUAAAAGUCAAGAUUCUCCUUGAUAUAAAUACGAUGCUAUGUCAUUUCAAAGUUUUCGUCAAAAUUGUGUUGUAUAUACUAAGUUAAUCUAAAUUGCUAAAUUUGAUGGGUUCAUGUGGGAUCCAUAGGAAACUCACUAAAUUAAAAGUUCAGGUCAACUUAAUAUAAAUACGGUUUUCUUUCAUCAAAAUUAUGCCGUAUGUACUAAAUUAACCCAAAUUGCUAAAUAUGAUGGGUUCAUGUGGGACCUAUAUGAAACUCACUCGAAUUAAAAGUCAAGAUUCUCCUUGAUAUAAAUACGAUACUAUGUCAUUUCUAAGUUUUCGUCAAAAUUGUGUUGUAUAUAAAUAUGACCCAAGCUCAUUUCCGAGUCUUUAUCAAACGUGUGUUGUAUGUCCUAAAUUGGUCUAAAUCACUAAAUCUAAUAGGUUCACGUGGGAUCCAUGUGGAACUCACUCAAAUUAAAAGUCUAGAUUCUCCUUGAUAUAAAUACGAUGCUAUGUCAUUUCUAAGUUUUUGUCAAAAUUGUUUUGUAUAUAAAUAUGACCCUAGCUCAUCUCCUAGUCUUUAUCGAACGUGUGUUGUAUGUCCUAAAUUGAUCUAAAUCGCUAAAUCUAACAGGUUCACGUGGGAUCCAUGUGGAACUCACUUGAAUUAAAAGUCUAGAUUCUCCUUGAUAUAAAUACAAUGCUAUGUCAUUUCUAAGUUUUCGUCAAAAUUGUAUUUUGUAUAUAAUAAGUUAAUCUAAAUCGCUAAAUUUGAUGGGUUCAUGUGGGAUCCAUAGGAAACUUACUAAAGUUAAAAGUUCAAAUCAGCUUAAUAUAAAUAUAGUGCUCUUUCAUCAAAUUACGUCGUAUGUACUAAAUAACCCAAAUCGCUAAAUCUGAUGGGUUCAUGUGGGACCUAUAUAAAACUCGCUGGAAUUAAAAGUCUAGAUUCUACUAAAUAAAAAUUAGGCCCUAACUCAUUUCCGAGUCUUUGUCAAAAGUGUGUUGUAUGUCCUAAAUUGAUCUAAAUUGCCAAAUCUGAUGAGUUCACAUAGGAUCCAUAUUGAAUUCACUAGAAUUAAAAGUCCAAAUUCCACUUAAUAUAAAUAUGACGCUAGCUCAUUUCUGUUUCUUCAUCAAAAUUGUGGUAUAUGUACUAAGUUAAUCUAUAUCGCUAUAUUUGAUAGGUUCAUGUGGAACCCAUAUGAACCUCACUAAAAUAAAACGUCCAAAAUCGAUUAAAUAUAUACACUACUUUAACUCAUUUCUAAGUCUCCAUCAGGCGCCUUUUUCUCAUCUCUUUGAAGCUUCCGAUCUCGUGCCAUUCCGUCACAUGUGAAUCGCGAAUGAUUUUCCACGCCAAAGUCUUUGUUAAAUCUCAAGACUUAAAAAUACGAAUGUGAAGUAACAACUGCGUGUCAAAUGCAGAAAAUUCAUAUGUGAAAAAGUUGACCGUCCCUUCUUGAGUCAACUGUUCUCUUCCUCGAUAUGCUUUUCUGAUCUGGCCUCACAGAUAGAUGGGCAAAGCGGCGCAUUCAUAUCUAUAAUCUCGCGGCAGUUUCAACUCUGUUAAAAGAAUGCCGAGAUCUUUACAAGAUGUUUGACAAGUGUCUUUGAUGACAGCAUGCAGCAUAUCUACCGCUUCAAAACAUAGUUACGGUUCAGUCUCGAUUGUUAUUUUUCUUGAAAGAGACACGAAUGAAGACAUAAAUUAUCGUGGGAGAUAGAAAGAUCCAGCCAACAUGUAACGACAACUCAAUCGUAAGCAUCAGUGUUUUUGCAAGAGAUGGGCUUCUAUGGCUUUCAACAUUCCCAUGGCCUUCUCUUUGCUGGCCUUGUUCUCGACCCGGUCCACGGCGAAGUACUUGCUCAUGCUCUUGGCCAUACACCCUCUCUGUCUGGACCCGCCUCAAACUUGAUCUCGUUCGGGAUCUUCUCUAGCGCGUUGCCCUGGACGAUGGCGUACGCAUGCGCGAGCUUUCCUUGUCCAGCUUCUCGACUGGUGCUCCACCGAGUUGAACUGUCUAGCUGCGAGACACAGACAACUGCAGUCAGCUCCCACGUUAGCCUCAACAAAGAAUGUCGGCAAAUGUCCUCUUUGACAUCACAUGUUAAUGCGACGCAAUCAAAAUAAAUUAAAAUAGAAGACAGCGCAAGCACUGGCCUUCGCCAAGGAUGGCGCCGGGACCCCCAUCACCUUCAGGGAUGACAAAAUCCUUAAAGGCUUGUGGGAGGAGCUUGGGGAUGAGAUCAUCGUCAGGAAGAACGGCCUUCUUGCAGGUGGGAUGGAAUCGUCUUCACCUAAGAGUUCCAAGUCCCACGGCAAGAGAUCUGUGAUAUUAUGUUGAAAAUGCCCUCUAAAUGAUUCUCAAUCGCCUCGUUUAGUAAUCUAACUCAACAUCACAUUGGUCUAAAUCAUAUAAUAAAGAAAGAGGACAAACGGCAUGGAUCUCAAGCCCAAAUGAUACUUGUUAGCAUGCGAGAGAUCUUUGAAUGCUGACAACCUUGAGGGAGUCACUAAAUUAUUAUUAAAAUAUUAUAAUAGAACCCAAUGGCUUAGACAAGCAAGCUUGAGUGCAUGUGGAUAAUUCUUGCUUGAUGAAAUGCAUGGUAGGUCGCGAAUCGAGACUCGUCCCCAUGCACAUCCACUCCCUCGGCUAGUUGGCCGGUCGGAGGAGGAAGCCGUGGGUCGAGCACAUCCUUCAAUAGCACAUUUUAGUCUUUCAAUAAUGUCGACGUUUGUGUCAUUUGUAGGGAAGAAAGAACAUUCAAUGGAUGCUUCCCAUCAUUCUCUAGUGUCACUACUUUUACUGCUGACUGUGUUUCUUGAAAGAAGAACUAGCCAGGGUUUUGCUCACAACGUCAAGUUGUCCACAAAUUCCAAAUUUCUGUGAUACUUUAAAACAAACCACUUUUCAUAAUCUAUACUUACUCUUCCUAAAAGUAUUGUUAGAUUUAUUGAAUGAAUCCAAAUUCGAUUUGUCCAUUAACCGCGGAGUUACUACUAAUUUUAUUUUUCAAGAAGAAGAAUGAAUCAAAGUCAUGAUCAUAAUGUCAAGUUGUACCCAAAUUCCAAAUUUGAACGACACUCUUAACACAAACUACUUUUCAAAACCGGUACUUGCAAGAAUCCUAAAAGUCCCGUUAGAAUUAUUUAAAUGCAAAUUAUCGAUCUGAGACCAUUUGUACCUGCGAAAUGUUCGAUUAGAUUCCAUCAUCUAACUUACCAGCAACCAUGUAGCCAUAAGAUCCAGCCUCAAAUAAGGCCGGAAACUCGCAUGAACCGGAAAGCAGCAGCCCAGUCCGGCGAGCCCGAAACAGGGCAUGGGCAAAAAAAAGCGCGGUCGGCCGAGAGUCCCUACCCAGCUCGCGGCGUCGGACGGCGGACGAGCUCGAUAGAUCGGGCUAUGCCCGUCCGCCUCGCUCGUCUCCUAGCCGGGAUCCUCGGGAAGCCGACCCCGAAUCGGGAAAAACCAAGACCGCCCGAAGGGGUACCUACCAUGGCCUCGAAGUGGACAAGGAGCGGCGGCGGAUCAUCAGUUUUGGUUCGGAAGUGGAGCCCAACAGCAGCUCUCUCAGUCGCGUCCUCGGAUCCGAAUCCCUCUCGCCUCGUACUUGACCCCCUCCGAUUUCUCCCUCCUCCCCCCGACCUCUGGCCUUCGAUUUAUAGGCUGAGAAGGCCGGUCGGCGGAGGCGCUUCGGCCGCCGGUCCUUCGCGCGCCGACCGGCCCCCCUUGGCUGAACCAGCAUCACAUCACCCGUCGCCUCCAGCGCCGCCUGCUCUGCUUUGCGCCUGCUCUGCUCUGCUCUGCUUCUACUUCUGAUUCCGUCCUCGCUGGCGUGAGGAAGAAGCGGGAAGGAGGAAGGAGGAAGGAGGGGCCGGGCCGGGGUGAGAAGCACAAGCAGAGUGGGCCCUGGGCCCACUCGGGGAACAAAGGAGAAAAGAGGGGGGCUAAGGCGAAGGCCCAGCCGCCGUGGGCCCUUUUUUUAUAAAUAAUAUUAAAUAGGGCUAAAUAAGAGAAAAUAAAAUGCAAAUGAUAUUUAUGCUUAUAUGAUGUGAAAAUCGUUUUUAUUAGUGUCAAAUUGAUUCCAAAUUUUUUAUAUAAUUUUAAUUAUAGAUAUUUAGUCAAAAUUUAAGUAUCAAUAAAUAUAAAUCUCAAACUGCAAGAGUAAAAAUAAAAAAAGAAAAGAAUUAAAGAAGAGACAAGUGCGGUUGCACCUUUAUCCCAUCAUGUGACUGAAAUUGUUUAAGAAAGUAAAAAAAAUUGGGAUAAGUGCAUUAGAAAUCUUAAAAAUUAUCAUGAAAAUGCAAUUGAGUCAUAAAACUUUCAAAAAGUGCAAUUAAGUCCUAAAAAUUGGUACGAAAGUUCAAUCAAAUCCUAAAACUUUCAAAAGAUUCAAUAAAAUCUAAAAACUUGUUUCGAAAGUACAACCGAAUCCUAAAACUUUCAAAAAUGCAAUCAAUUGAAGGACUUAGAUUGAACCACUUUAAUAAGUUUUAGGACCUGAUUGUAUUUUUUGAAAUUUUUAGGACUUAAUUGCAUUUUAUAACAAGUUUUAUGACUUAAUUACCUUUUUUAAAAGUUUUAGAACUUAAUUACAUUUUCAUGACAAAUUUUAGGACUUCAAAUGUACUUAUCCCUAAAAAAUUCAAUGAACAUCACAUGCUCUAGCUUUAAUUGAAUUAUUGGGGGAGGGGGGUUAUUUUUUCCCUAUAAAAAGAACUCGCCACACGACGAUAAUUGGGGGUUUUAAUUUUUUUGGAGGACCUCGAAGGGAUUUUAUUUUCUCUCCCAGUUUCUAGGUGAAGAAAUUCAAGAAAAAGAGAGAAAAAUUCCCCUUCGUUGAAGGGAAAGUCAACCAAAGGGUUUUUCCCUUGUGGUUUUUUCCUUUUGCUGAAAGUACAAGGGCAGUAGAAUUGAGAAAAUAUUGGGUACCUUAAAAAUGCCAUGUAAUUUGUGCUCUGAACCAUUUAAAGUGUGACAUAUGUUUGUGUGUCAAUCCAUGUCGUCCCACUUCUCGAUUUCAAACCAACGCACGGGAGGUUCUCUCUCUGCUCUCUCAAGCAUAAGCCCUGGCCCACCUCUUUGCAUGCUCUAACGCUCUCUUUCCUUUGCUCUCCUUUGCAGAUCAUCUCUCUCCUCUUUCUCCUCUCUGUCUCUCUCCUCAUUCUCUGUUCCGUUGCGAGGAGAACAAAAUUGUGGAGGGUUAAAGGAAAACAUAAAAGUUGAGCCCCUCCGCCUCCACUAGUUGCUUCCAUCGCCUCCCUCUCACGACAUUUGCUCUGCUCUGCUCUGCUCUCUCUCCCCUCCAUGAAGUCGUGCCUCUCUUCCAGCGAAAUGUGACGCCGAUGGUCCUCCACCUCCACCUCCACCGGUUGCCUCCAUCGCCCUUGACUCCGACGCCGAUGCCCCUCCGCCUCCCUCUCACAACCUCUACUCCACUCUCUCCCUCUUUCCUCUACGGAGCGCCCUUAUUGGCCAACCCUGAUGCCGACGAACCCCUGCUCACGUUUUGGCCUCCCUCUCAGCGAGUGAAGGUCGCUUGCUCUUUCUGUCUUUCCUCUGUGAAGCACCCCCCAUUCCUGAACGUGGACGCCGCUGACACCGAUGCCGUCGCCUUCCUAAGCCCCACCGAUAGCCACCCCACUGGCGAUUCCCGUACGUCCAAAGGUUCUUUUUUCUUUUCUUUUCUUUUUGGAUUCUACUUGGUAGAAUUCGGUAACAUGUUUAAGUUUAUAGAUACAUUUGCAUUAGGUACUGCUUUAUCUUACUUGUUGCUGACUUGCUGUGUUAUUCAGAUAGUGAAGAUUGGAAGAAAGUGAAACGGUGGUAUCUUUUGAGAUUGUUUGCAUAUAGUCCUCCUAAGGGAUUAGAGGCUUCUGAGCCUAAAUUGGUCACUCCAUGCUUUUAUUUUCUCCCAAAAUCACAUGUCUGUUGGAGAAGUUGAUCCUUGCGUGCUUCUGAAUAGUCAUUUGCGUUGCAAUUCCAAAGGUGUAACUCAGUUGUGAAGGAUAAGAUCAAAAUAUCUCUCUAAGAUCUACCUUCUUGGUCCACUGAUCUAUUAGAAAUAGGUAGUUUACUUAGGCAAAUUCAUUGCAGCUUGGGCUGUUUAAACCAACAAGUACCUCUUAUUUUGUUCAUGUGCCAACGAGAGAUAUGGUGGGACAUCCUCACAAGCAUGGAGCCAGAAGCUUAUCUCUCUGUUUGCUUUGCGAGAGAGCCAUUGAAAAUUGCAGGUUUCUUGUGUUUAGCUGAAUUUGACAUACAGAGACUAACCAAAUUUGUGAAGAUGACUAAUUUCACGUUGUUGUUUUUUUAAGCAUAAACAAAGGUUUGAUUUGAUGUUUAUGGUUUUAUCCUAAUUCCACUUAUUUAGAAUCUCUUGGAUAUUGGACAGGGUUAGACUUUCUUGCUUUAUCUCGUCAUAGUAGAUGCCAUGCACUGGAUUAUAUUAUUUAGCAUGCGCCGUUUCUCUGUAAUUAGAGCUGCCUUUUGUUCAUGCUAAACUUUUGAACAACUGCUUUGCCUUACCUAUAUGAACUACAGAUCCUGAUAGACCUAAGAAUGACAAGGGAACCAUUCUUACGGACACAAUCCAGGUGCUGAAGGAUUUAAACACGGAAGUUAACAAAUUGAAAGCUGAAUGUGCAGCUCUUACUGAAGAAUCUCGUGAGGUGAUCACUUAGUUGGCAUUUGCUUAGCUCUUCUCACCGCAUCGGCUUGCUCGCGAAGGAAAAUGUUAUGAAAGGAAAAUGCAAAUCAUGCUCUUGGGCUGUCUCUAUUCUUUUAAGCUUUUAAAGCAUUUGUCUUCGUAGUUUGUCCUCUUCAAACAAGUUCUUAACAUCUACAUCUACAUAAACAGAGUAUCCUAGAAGCAUCCAUUUCAUGAUCAGCAUUCCAUGCUAAAUGCAAAUCAAGUGGUGCAAUUCUCAGCAACCCAACAUCAGGGGAACCAACUAUAACAAGUAAAUUCUCUAGGCUAUGCCACAAAUGAGCACGCGACUUCACCUGUGUCCACAAUUAUUGGUAUCAACGGAGCCGCCGCGCAGACCGACCUCGCAGUCACUGCCAUUUCCGGCGGCCUGAAGACAUUCAGAAGAAACGGCUCAAAGAUUCGAACUUUAGCAUUCGAAACUCACAUACCCACUUCACAUGCAAAAGCGGGGAAUCGCAACCGGGCAUCAGGACGACGCCCUGAUCCUCUAUCAGCCGGUGCACGCGCGUCUGCCGCGUCGUCAUCCUGACCGUCGGGGAAGAAUGAGAAGUGAGAUGGGGCAUGUUUGUUGCCGAGCGCAGCUUGAGGACAAAUCAGUGAGAAAAGUGUCGGAAGAACAUUGAAGUUGUUGACAAAGGUGGAGUGUGAAGAGUUGUUGUCUCGUGGGACAGAAUACCCAUGAGAGAGAGAGAGAGAGAGAGAGAGAGAGAGAGAGAGAGAGAAGAGAAUCAAGACCCGUGAAGCACAGACAAAAAGUAAUAGAGCUUGUACACAAAUCAAUAAUGUAAAUGAAAAUCAUGAGGGAUGGAUGAUAGCAAGGGGAAAAAGCCUAUGAUGUAAUGCUUAAUGCUUGAUCAUAUAGCACAUGGUGAUGCUAACACGUUGUCAAUUUGUUUUUUGGAUUGCAUAUAUGGCAUUCGGAACGCUCAAAGGCAAAGAAUGCAAAAUCAUUUAAUUCAAGUGCAUCAGGUUCCGUAUAAAAAGGCACCUGACGUUGUAUCUAAAGUUUUUUUAGGAGGAAGACAUAAUUCCAACAAGAAAAUAAUUAUCGCAUUUGCAUGAAGCGUGUCUAAUCAUUCAGCCAAUUAUCAUACCAUCAUGAUUGAGGAUUCACAAGAUUCUUUGCUGUAUUUAGAACUUCGCCGCAUUUGUAAUCUCGUGCAAUUAAUAAAGGAGAGCAUUCUUCUUCCAACAACCAUGACAUAAUUGAUUGGAACAUAUGCCUGAAACUUGAACAAUGAGGGCACAUUCAUUACUUUUUUAAGGGUUUAGCUCCAGCAGCCAUGACAUAAUUGAUUGGAGCUCAGAUUUUGCAUCCAAACUAUCUUGCGACUUUUGACCUGCCAUGAGGCAUAAGCCAGGUUGUACUCCUGCAUGAGUCACUCGCAUCGUGUAGUAGUGAUGCCCUGGUGGUUAUUAGAUAAAAAGAGUCUCCAGAGAUGCUGUCGUCAAGAGGUAACGAAUCAGUGUACCGAUGGAGAUGCGAGCUAGCAUACGCUUUUGGGUGUUCCCAUCAUCAUUGACCGGAGCAAAAAAAGGCGAAUUCCUACAUUCGCUAUUCUAUUGGCCAUGAUUCAACGCGAUGAUGAAUGGCUCUUUAAACCAAGAAGCGUCACCCUAAAUAAUAUGAUCAAUUUAUCUUCGUUAAUGGCUGCUCAGCAUACAUCUCUAAAUCCUUCACAGAAAAAGCAGGUGCAUUGCUCAUCUCUGAGAGAGACUGAAAAAUGUUUACACUUGAUUCAUUUGCGAUGCCAAAAAAAUUGGGAAAAGAGAAGGCCUUACAAGUAAAAAAGCAUUGCCCAUUCUGUAAUAGAACAAACCCUUCAUGAAUGCUGUCACCAGCGACCUCCUCGAUCAGCACGGCAUCCGAUAUCUCUCUCACAUCAUCCUCCGCAAGAUGGGGUUCACUUCACGUGAGACGAAAUCGGCUUCUCCUUUCUUCACCGCCUUGUCAGCAGCUUCCAUUAUUAUGUGUCCCAAGCUCGCUCCGAGAGAGAAAGAGAGAGAGAGAGAGAGAGAGGGAAAGGGUCAGGAAAGGGGGAGGAAGUUAUGAAGGUAUGGAGGAAGGCAGGAGGGGAGGGGAGAUGGGCAAAGAUGGUGGAGAGUGUGGCCUGCCCAGAUACGCGCAGAAAGAAAGAGAGAGAUGGUCAGCUGCAACCAAAACGGCAAAAAAAGACCACGAUCUAUUAACCCCUUGCGGAACAUAAACAAAUCAGCGAGUAGGAAAACGGGGUCGCAAUCCCCGGAGAAAGAUCUCAUUCAAGACAGACCGACGGGCAAGAAAAAGGGGUCGCGGUCCUCGAAGGGAGAUCUCCACCAGGUCAAAUCGCACCUCGUGCUUCUGUUCGGGUCGCCAUCGCGUCCCUUGAUGGCCAAGGUCUGUUGCUGCUGGUUCUGCUUACUCUGAGCGAGCUUCUCGCUUGGGUCGUUGCUAAUGAGGAAGGAAGACGAAGGAAGGAAUCCCCGGAGGGAGAUCUCCGCCAGGCCGAAUUGCACCCGGUGCUUCCGCUUAGGGUCACCAUCGCGUUCCUUGAUGGCCGGGGCCCGUUGCUGCUGAAUCUGAGCAAGCUUCUUGCUUGGGUCGUCGCCGAUGAGGGAGGAAGACGAAGGAAAGAACGUGAGGGGAGAGAGAGAGCCCUUGAAAAUUGAAAAGAGGAAAGAGGUUUUUGUUGAGCGGGAGUGCGAAGGAAAGAACGUGAGGAGAGAGAGCGCCCUUGAAAAUUGAAAAAAGGAGAGGUUUUUCUUGAGCAGGAGUGCGCUUUUACUGUUCUGUCUUUUCUCCGUGCGUUCCCCAGAGGAGAGAGAGGGGAAGAAGGCUAUGGGUCCCAUGUGGACACGUGUUGCGCUCCCACCAUCUUCUUGUUUGCCUAGAGCGUAAGACGAACGCAAUAUUAUUCUCUCACCUCUCACGUCUCCAAAAAGGAGAGGAAGCAGAGGCAGCCAGCCCCGAGCGUCGACGCCGUUGUUUCUGCUCCGCCCCCCAGCCGCGACGCUUCCGCCUGCCGGUCUCCGCUGCACCGGUUGCCACAGUCGCUCCUCCAGCAACCCGCAGGCCACCCUCACGCCGUUCACCGCGCCGGCUACCACCGCUCGUCUCCCCGCGAAGCCACCGUUCCCUUGCCGAUCGCUGUUGUUGACCCGCGAUACCCCUGCUCGACUCCAUACGUCGCUCUGCCGGCCAACGCUGCUCCGCGCCCCCGAAGUCGCGACGCCGCCUCUGCCGGCCCCGCCUCUGUCCAGAUCUUCCGUGCCGGAACGCGACCCCGAGUCAUCGCGCGUCCGCGCGUCGCCACUGCUGCAAUCCGACACCAGAAGCCGCCUCUCCCGCGCCUGAGCGACCUGCAGCACCCAACGUCCCCCUCUCCUCUGCUGCUCGUGCCGCGUAACCAACAGGGUUACCCCUCGCCCGCGAGCUCGCACCGCCGCCCCGCCGUGCCGAUCCGCGACGAUCUGACGCCUCCGCGUUGCUGCUUCUGGCCACGUCUCCGCCAGCCACUGCCGUGCACCAUCGCCGACCUGCAGCUUCUACCCGAGCCCUCUGCCGCCAGCCUCCGCCUUCGAUCGACGCAGUUGCAGCCCAACGCCAGAAGCAGCAGCUCCCUGCUCCGUCGUACCUCAGUCACUGUUCUGCCUCGCCGUUCCCGUUCCACCCCAGCCGCGACGCAGCCUCUGCCGGACCGACGCCUGCUGCCCUGCCUCCUGCACCAGCGCCGACGCCCGAGCUCUAUCGCCGGGACUGCCGUCGCACCUCCCCGCCGCCGGUCUCCUCGCACACCGUGCCAGCGCUAGCCCGCCGAGCCGGUCCGCCUGCACGCCGGCUGCCGCCCUUCGCCGGAGCUCCGACCGCCGGCAGCUCCACCGCCCUUGGCCGCGCACCACCACAGCUGCCGAGCCUUGUUUGGAAAAAAAAGAAAAAAUCAAAUUAGGUAGGUUUAUUUUAUUUUAUUAGGUUGAUUUAUUUUAUCUUAUUUUAUUUUUUGAAAUAUUUCUCCAUGCAUAAUUAAAAUUCCCGGCAUACCACCUAAUUCGUAUAAAGUUUUAGAUGGGAUAAUUGAUUGAUAUCUUGAUGUUUAAGGUUUAAGAUCAAUUUAUUAAUUUUAUUAGCAAAAUAAUCAGGUUUAAUUAGAUAUCGUUUUUAAAUUCGAAUGAUGGAUAAUAUCUUUGAUGCCAUGGAUGAUUCGUUGUUUAUUUUUUUUAAUUGCUUUGUUUAUUGCAAAAAAAUACAAAAAAAAAAAUUUGUAUUUUGCAUAUCAUGUGGAUUAGAAUUGUUUUCUUAGAUAGAAUUGCAUGGUAGAAUAGUUAGAUUCUUUUCUAGUUAUAUUAAAAUGCUUGUAGUAUCUAGGUUAGAUAAUAUUUUUUGGAUUAAAUUACAUGACGAGAUAAUUUUCUAAGUUAAGAUAGGAUUCAAAUUGGUCUAUUCUUAACUUAAAAUAGAUAAUAUCUCACUUUAGUUAGAUUUUAUAUUUUAGUACUUUUAAUUACGAAUUUUUAUUUAAAAAAAUGCCAAAAAAAAAUCAUACGCAUAUCAUAUAGAAUUAGGUUCAUGAAAUGCACAUCAUUUAGUGUUUGUUGCUAGGUUCAUUUAAUUAGAAAUUAACCAUCAUUAGAAUUAAAUCAUUUGGUUAAUUUAGAUUGCACAUUUAAUUAUUGCAUUUUUUUAAUUUCGAAUUCAUGAGAAAAAUCCAAAAAAAUUGUCUUUGAAUAAAUUAAUUUCAUUUUCUAGGAUAGAUUGCAUGCUCAUUAAGCAAACACAAAAUAUUUCACGUCAUAUAGUUUAGGUCAUGUUUCCAUGUUAUAUCAUUUAAUGUUAGAUUAGUGGCAUGUAUUGCAUAAAUAAUUCUCAUUAAAUAAGUAAGAACAAAAAAAAAUUAAUUGCGUGUUAAUUAGAAAUCAUAUGUAGAACUGUCGAUGUGAAUUCUAAUCUAACCUUGCAAAUGCUUUUGAUGCCAUGAGAUAAGUCCUGAAAUUUAUUCAUUGCUUUAUCUGGGUAUUAAAUUAAUGGUUUGCACACUCGCAUGAUCAUUGAGAUAAAUUAAAAUCAAUUCAAGCUACUUGCCAAAUAUUUUUUCAAAAUAAAAGAAAAAUGUACCGAAAUUGCAUUAAAGAAAUCUAACGUAAUCAAGUCUCCGAACUCAUAAUCUCUAGUUUACAGAAGUAAAGUAAAUCUCCUAUUACUUUACUUGGAAUUCUAAUUGACUCAUCGAAAAUAGAUUAGUGACAACUCCUAAUUAAAAUUUGCAUAUUAAGAACUUGAACUUAAGUAGCGAAUUAGUAUGGGCUAGGGAGAGCCCGAGCUAUGUUUAGGCUUAGUAAUCUAUUAGCCAAAUCCUAGGUAGUGCAUCUGAAAUUUUGGUCGCGACAAAUGUCGUCAAUCAACUAUGAGAUGCCGAUGUCAAUGGAGAAGUUACUGAUAUUAAUGGUUGUCAAUGCCGAUAUUCCAGAAUUGAUACCGAUGAUUUUGUUUGGUGAAUUGAUACCGUUGACUGUUCGAUGCUCGAGUUAAUUAGAUUCUUUAUUGUAGCAUUGUUUUUGAGAAGUCUGUUCGUAUUUUUAUUUCAUGACUGUUCAUGUUUCUAAGUGUAAUCAAUGUUUUGUAAGUUCUUAGGAUUUUAUCACCUCAGAACAUUAGCUAUAUUUAUUAGUCAUUAGUUUAAGAGUUAUGUGUGAAGCAUAUAAAAGUGGAGGCCUGUAAUUGUUUUCAAUAAGGUGAAGAAAAGGUGAAAUAAACAAGAAGGAUAUAUGUCUCCUUCUCUUCUCUGUGUUGUGUUAGUGGGUGUUUCAGCUUUAAAUUAUCCCAUCAAGAUGUAGUCUGUAUUUGUCUUUUACAAAAACUCGAAAUUUUCUAGUUUUGAUGCCAUAUGAAAUUAUGAAGGAGCACUAUUAGCUAUUAUAGAAGUUUAGAUAAUUAGAUGGAUGCAUUAUUCAAGACUUAAUUGAUAUAACGUCUCUUUCACGACCUAUGUUCCUUUUCAACAGCUAGAUUACUUGCACAGCUUGGGAUCAAUGGAAGGAGAGCUAUCUAUAGAAGUGGAGGAUGGUGGAAUGAACAACUUGAUCGAAAUCUGGAGAGGUCGACGGGAGAUAAUGAAGAAUGCAUUGGCGGCUUCCGCGGGGGGACAAGAUCCGGCAAAAGCUUACGAAUAUGCUCGAAAACUGGCGCGUGUCAUCGAAGGCGGCAAGGUUGACGAGUUCCUUUCCAAGAUCAAUGUAAAUGAUCCAUUGUUGCGGGACAUCGAUUGGUCUGCCGUUUUAAAUUCCCGAUCUGAAGGCAACGAAUCACUGCUCCACAUGGCAGCAGCAAUCGAGAACGACGACAUCCUAAGGCUUCUGGUUGAUUAUGUUGGUGACCACCUCAUAACCGCCCAAGAUGAUCGGGGAAAUACCCCACUCCACUGGGUCGCUCGGUAUGGGGGAUCUACUGGAGCUGCAGAGAUGUUGAUUCACCGGGCAAGAGGCCUCCCCAACGUCGAGGACAAGAACCUCCUAUUGAGGAUGAAGAACAAAUGGGGAAACACCGCUUUGCACAUAGCCGUGCACGAAGGUCACGCCAACUUGGUGCGCUAUUUGUUGAGCGAAGAUUUGGAGCCCGUGUACUGGAAGAACGCGAAUGAGAAAUCUCCCCUGUACCUAGCCCUCGAGACUUACGACUCCGCUGUACAUGAGGCUUUAUUUUCACACUCGUUGGAACCAUCAAGGAUAGAAGGCUUGCCGCCCAUUCAUGGUGCCAUUAUACGUUCACGACACGGUACGUACCUAAAUCUAUUUACGUGGAAAUAUAUUUAUCUAUUUCUGGACUGACUCAUCCCAAAUCUGUGCAAUAACUUUUUGCUCUUACAAAAACCCCUUACCGGUUUUUACUUAAAAUUCCCUACCCUGCUUGUUAAAGUGGUUGGAUACCCAUCGGUUUAGCCGCAUUAUAAACGAAUUAUUCACAUUAGAGCAUAAUAGAUCGGCUUAAAUAUUACAAAUACAACCAUUUCACUAGAAACUCAUGUGUUGUCGAUCUUUGAUUAGAAAAGCUAUAAAGUGCAAAUAUUUAAGAUUGAUGACCAUGAAAAUCUGGAAUCUAACAAUGACGCUGUGUGCCAUGAACCAAAAUGAACAAAUGAAAGUUUAGGGCAUGAAUUAUAAACUGGUAGCAAACCUGUAGGCUGCGCAGGCGUGAUUUUUUCAUUGGAAAAAAAGGAGGUGAAGAUUCCAUCACUCUCAGCAAAUUGAUGGAACAUCGUAAACCAUUAAUUUGUUUGUGACAAACAAUCAAUAGGUUUUUAAGAAAUUAAGAAAAGUGGAUCUAAAUAAAGAAAUAUAUUUUUUAUUUUUUAUUUUUAAAUUAAUACAGUUAUCAUAAUCUUUGCAGAAAAAGCUGAUACGGUAGUGUAGCCUAUAUUACCUUGACCAUUAAAAAUAUUGAGAUAAAAUUCAUCAGACACAUGAUAAUCAAUUAUGUGAAAUUUUUUGGCUGCUAAUGCCACGUAUCCCAAGUUUACUACUUGAAGUGCAGCUAACGUUCAUUGAUCAUCAGAUUGGUAGAUGGCAUUUAGGUGUUACAGUCAUAUCGAAUAGAGAGAAUUGUCCAAAAAGUUAUAAAUGUGUCAAUUGUGUCAAUUUAACCUCUAUUUUAGUCCUAAACUUUUUAAGGAUUUACCAACUUAGUCCCUUCUAAACAAUUUCUAUUGGAAAUCGCUAACAUGGCGGUCUAGUCAAAGCUAGCCAUCCUACGUGAUGUUGAUCGCUUAUGUGGCUUUUUUACAAAAUAUUUUUUAAUUUUUUGCAUUUUUUCCUUUUCUUUUUUUUUAAUCCUUUUUUCCCUCUACCAGCCUCAGGCGAGGGCUACCCUCUAACCCUUGCAUAGAGCAACCCUUGCCCUUGCUCGACCUCCAUUAGGUGUCAACUAUGGAUGGUUAGAGAAGAGAAAAAGGAAAAAAAAAAAGAAAUUAGAAAAAGAAAAGGAUAAAGGUGGGCCCGGCGGAUCCUAGGUCACCAAAAAAAUAAAAGACAAAGGAAAUGAAAGGAAAAAGGAAAAAAAUUGCAAAAAUUAUCCGCAUUAGCAUUGGCUAUGCCAUGUAGGAUAUUCAGUACUACUAGACCACUAUGCCUAUGAUUUUCAACAAAAUUGGCUAGAAUGACUAAAAUGACAUAUCGUUAAAAUGUUUAUGAUUGAAUUGGCAAGUUAUUAAAAUUGUUAUGACUAAAUUGACACAACUGAAAGAUUUAAGACUAAAUUAAUCAUUAUACAAUAUAUUCAAAACUUUUUGGACAAUUUUCCCUAUCAAGUAUAAUUACAACCCUAGAUGCAGUAACUUUAUUUUUAUCCUGUCCCAAUUUAUUAAUCCGAGCACAUGUUAUUAUUUACAUUGCACGACGUAACAUGUUUGAGGCUCUCUUUUUGAACUGAACAUGCAAAACAAUUUCAAAUAGACAUAAAGUGAAAAUGCGUAACAAUGUAUUGUGUGAUGCAAAUAUUAAAUUAGCAUACCCAAUAAACGUAUGUGUCUAAACUUACGUUGCACUCAUUGAAUAGAUUAUAGAAGUCGACCUGCACACAUAACGUUCAUAAUCCAUUUAUAAAUGGCUUAACUUAUUUGUGAUAACACAAUUAAACCUAAUGCUACCAUAUUUAACCACGUUCCAUGUAGUGAACAUGCAUGUAGAAGGGCUGUUUCAUAGUUUGUCAGCUCAUAAUUCUAAUAAGCACUUUAGAAACUUUACAAAAGAUCCCAUUGAAAUUGGAUUUACUAUAUAUUUCUUAUUCUUACUGUCCAAUAUAUAAAAAUCCUUUUAUGAAGUACUACUGAUUGAAAUCUCGUAAUAAUAGUUCAGUUUGUUCUUCAUUGAAUGUAAAAGUAGAUGACAUUGUGGAAUGAAUCGAGCGUUGACAUGGGCUUUUGUAGAUAGGUACUUUAAUUAGGUUAUCAUGAUAGGCACUUUUUUUAAGGUUCAUAUCAAUUAAAUAAGGUAAGGUUAUUUCUUUAAAUCUAGUAAUAUUCUUUCACUUGGGAAAAUUAUCCAAAAAGUCCUAAGUCUAUUGCACUUUUGCCAAUUCAAUCACAAAUCAUUCAAUUUUGUCAAUUCAAUACUAAACAUUUUCACUUUUUGCCGAUUGAGUGUAUCCGGCUAAUUUUGACUAGAAUUUAUUGACAGGGAUAAUUUUUAAUAAUAAUUUAAUUCCUUUUGAAAUUUUUUGUACUUUUUUUCUUUUAUCUUUCUUUCUUCCCCCCUUUCUUCUUCCUUUCAUCGGUGGCUAGCUACCAACCACCGGUGAUGGCUAGCUACCGGCCAUGGCUGGGUGAGUUGACCUUGCUCGCCGUAAGUGAUGCCUAGCCAGGCAAGGCCAGGCCCUAGCAAGGGUUGGCCUCACCUAGGUUAGGCAAGACAGCCUCCUAGGUUAGGCAAGACCAACCCUUGCCCAAACUAGGCGAGAUCGCCUAGGCGAGGGUGAGCCCCCUUGUUCGGCCACAUCUUACCCGAGGCAUGUGAGGCUAGCUGGCUCGGCCAUAGUCGGUGGCUGGCACAAAAGGAAGAAGAAAGGAAAAAAGAAAAUGAAAAAAUAUUUUUAAAAAUUGUUUACAUUAGUGCCGACCAUCUUACAAGAAACCGCUAGUGUCCACGUCAGCGAAUUCCUAUCAAAAUUGGUUGGAUUGACUCAAUUAAUAAGAAGUAAACAUGUUUACGACUGAAUUGGCAUAAGUGCAAUAGAUUUAGAAUUUUUUGGACAAUUUUCACUCUUUCACUAAUGUAUCUAGAAUGUAACCGGUUACCCAUAUUGAAAUUUGUGGCCUGAAUUGCUUCGUCAAUUUCAAGAAUGACGGCAUCUGUCAUGCGAAUAGAAUAAAGGUGAAAUUCUUAAUUCAUGUUAUAUAUUAAUGUAAAAUAUAGGGGGCUCGACGACAAUUAGAAAAUUCCUAAUUAUCGUUGUUAGAUGACUCAUGAAAUUUGUAUAUGUACUUAACAAUAUUAUUAGAGUAUAUUUUAUAGGAAGUAUUAUAGAAAUGUAAGAACUUUCAAUAAUUGCUCAUUUGCAGUUUUUGAAACUCAUUAGAACUAAUUUCAAUAAAACUAAUGCCUCUUUUGUUGAACAAAAGUCAUGGUAUAAGAGGCAAACAUAAAUCCUAAUUUGAAGCAAAAUAAAAGGAAAGUGGAAGAAAAACACUCUUUGUGAGGAAAAUAAUCAAUCCCUUACAAAUUAGAGCCCUAUAAAUCACUUUUAGAGACAAUUCUUAAAGAAAAAAUCAUUAUUUAUUUAUGUAGAUGUUACAACGGUCUAGAUUAAUUUGCAAAGUUCACUGAACUUUUAUUAGUAUUAUGGAUGUAAUUUUUCUGGUGGUAAAAUGAGACUCCUUUUGUUUUGUGUUGUGUCAUCACAGCUUAAAUAUGUGGUCGUUAUAGCUAGGAUAUAUAUGACUCCAUGCAAUGCACAUAUAAGAUAGAACAUAUAAUGUGAUUUUUUGAGUAAAAAUAUUUUCCCAGAAUCACUAAAAUUUCACAAAAUAUAUUUGGUCCAUUCACAAGAUAUAAUGGGAUUGAGUAGCACAAUCCCCAAGGAUGAGGUUAUCUCUAAAGCACUCUCGCCUGUCUUUGAAGUCCAAUGGCCACCCACAAUCCUCAAACACCGUUGGAAUAUUCUCAAACAAUUGAAACACCUCUCUCGCAUUAUUGAACCUCUUUACUAGCACCUCUGAAUUUUCAUAGUUGGGGCCAAAAUAAAUUUUCUUUUGGUGGAGCCUUUCCUUUCUGUAAUUUGUGAUUUAUAAGCUCUACUAUCUUAGAAAUAGAUUCUGGUCACAAAUUACUUAGAUUUUACUCACAAGUUUUGGUAAAUACAUAAUCUCUUAAUUGAGCUGAAUAAGUGCCAUAUACCUUUACGAAGAAGAUGACGUUCAAUCUAGAGAGGGUGGAACAACUUUAAGGGGGAUUUCGAUACGGUGCUGUGGAGGCUAUUGCAAUGUUCUCGACAAUUAAAUAAGUUUGCUUGAUACUUGCUAGAAUUCGACGGACAUAAUAUGAAAAGAUCAUUUUCCUUUUCUUGAUCUUGCCUUAGCCUGCAUUACGCCUGCCGACUGUAUAAAUAAUUCAUGGCGUGGAAAUGCCAUAUAAAUUGCUAUGUCAUUUAGUAAGAUUUUUACAGUGAAAUCUUAAGCACCUGUCGAUGUCAUUAACUAGUUUUGGUAUUGCAAUCUAAUCUGUUAUUGUCGACUAUCAAUACUAGUAGUGAUUAAGGCACGUCAAAGAUGUCCUUACUCCAAAAUGGUUUUAAAUAUAUUGAGACCAACCAAGCUCCAACCAUCCUAAUUUGGAGCUCCUGAUCCCAGAUUUAUUCGACCUGAUGCUCAAGAAAAACAUGGAGCUAUUUGCAAUGACCGACUCCAACGGGGGCAAUGUAUUCCACUUAGCAGCUCACCUGAAUCACGCCUGGGUAUUCGAAUUCUUACGACCAGAAACUGAAUAUUUGACCCGAGAACCGGACAUGAAUGGAGAUCUCCCCAUUCAUAUUGCAAGCAAGAUGGGUUAUGUUGAACAUAUUGAGAAGCUAAGGGAAGUAUCACUUUUGCCAAAUGGGCAAGGGAAAAACAUUCUUCAUAUUGCCGCAAAAUAUGGUAGAGUCUCCGUAGUGAGAUAUAUACUCAGCCAUCCAAUUCUAGGGAAGAAUCCAAUUCUAGGGAAGAUGUUAAAUGCAGCAGAUGAUGAUGGAAAUACAGCUUUGCACUUGGCUGCGAUGCAUUCACAGCCCGCUGCUUUGAUUGAUCUUUUGCGGACUGACGGAAUUCUACCAAGCAUUUUCAACAAUGAAUGCUUGCUUGCUGUUGACAUUGCUCGACGACGACACCAGGCAGAGGGGUAUAACAUUCGGCAUGUAGGUAACAUGAACAGUCACUAUUUUAUUUAUUAACUUACUGGAGAUUACGUAGACUAAUGCAUUAGUUAAGGCUGAUCUUGUAUUCAAAUCAUUAUGUCUCCUAGCCAACUAGAUAGUAGAAGUAUUGAUCAAAUUUCUAGAAUAGCCGAGACUCCUCUCGGAUAAAUGUUCUACAAGUCCCUAAUUUAGUCUUGAUAGGAGGUAAUUAAAAUUUGUGAUCAUGAAUUUCUCUGCAGUUAGAAACAAGUAACGUGUCUUUCAUAACACGGAGAUAACAAUUUAUAUAUAUCGUUUAAUUGAGCCUCUGAAUACAGUCAUGAAUAAAAAGGCAGGGUUUGCCAAGGUUGCAUUCUGUUUUUCAUAAAAGGCCAGGGGUCAAUGUGACAAAUUUGACCGCUCCAUAUGUAGCACAAUCUCAUAACAUUAUCAUUUUGUCGACCUAUGAAAUGAUCGCCCACAUAAAUUCCAUUCAUGCCUCUUUUUUCAUCUAAAAUGAACUUGGUAGUUUUGUGCUAAUUCUUCAAAAAGAGCAGAAACUGCAUCUUUAGAAGCAAACGUUUCCAGAGUUCAUUCCCGUUAUCAAUAUGGAAUAAUUUUGUUCUUAUUUUCCUUUUUACAUGCUUCCGAUCUCAGCAAUUGGCAUACCUGGCGUUGGCUUGCUCGCUCGCGGGAAAAGGUCCACUUGGAAACCAAGAGUUACUCCUACUUAGAGCGAAAGCUCGAGAUGAAGAGUUAUCAGUAGUCCGCUCGCGCAAAAGCAUGCCGAGCAGGGACAUCGUCAAGGAUUACAUCAAUUCCCGCAUGGUGGUGGCAACGCUUGUGGCCACAGUGAGUUUUGCAGCUGGUUUUGCAGUUCCUGGAGGAUUUAACGGCUCGGACACAGCCUCCAAAGAUGAGCGGGGCAUGGCUACGAUGCUGGACAAUCGAAUGUUCCAGGCUUUCGCGAUUUGCAACACCAUCGCGAUGUUCUGCUCAAUGACUGUGGUCGUCAACCUCAUCUGGGCGCAGACAGUUGAUGUCGACGUUUUAGUCGCUGCAUUCGAGCGCACAACGCUACCACUACAAAUUGCACUCCCGGCGAUGUCCACCGCUUUCUUAACUGGUGUCACCUUGACCGCUGGCAAACUCCCAUGGCUUGCUAACACCAUAUUUUAUUUGGGACUCGUUUUCCUCCUCAUUAUCUCAUUUGCUAAAUUGUUAGGGGGGCCUAUCUUCUUAGAAAUCUUCGGUCAUCCUCUCCGUCGACUAACAUUCUGGCUUAUUCUCGCUUACAUUUAUUUGGGGAGAGUUGAGACGUACAUUUAUGAUGACGAUGACGCCAAAGAUAACAGAAGGGAGAAGAAGACCUUCGCUAGUCCGCCUGUGGAUGUUGCCGGUGAAUCGAGGACCGAUGACUCGGCGAAAGCAAAAUGUGAGGAUGCGUUACAUCCUCCAAGUCGCUGAUUUGAAUUGAUCAUUCCAUAUUAUCUGUAAUAUGUAGUAAUAAUAUAUGUUUUCCUUGGUGAGUGGGACUCACUAUACGGUUGCUUUCCUUUAUGUCAGAUCAAACGUGAUUGUUAAUGAAUGUAAGCUAAACCAUGUGUUUCUCUAAUAACUUAACUUAUUAGAAUUGUUGGAUAUAAUUCCAUCAAAUUUCAUAUGUUAUUAAAGCAGAGGUUCUAAGUUCAAACAUUUUCAGGUCCUAUUUGCUUCAUCUAUUAUAUGUUUUCAUGUUUCAUUCUUAGAUCAAGUCAAGCUUACGAGUGAAGAUGAGUAUAAAAGUAUUUGUAUUAAAGUAUUUGAAUUAAACAUCCCAUUUGUCUAAUAAUUUAAAUUUUUAGAACGAGUAAUUGUAGUUCCCCGAAAUUUCAAACCGAUACACACUUCAUGUAAAUUAAAUGGAUGAAUGGCUCAUUUCAUCCGUUUCAUCGCCCUGGAAUCAAAUUGUUAACUUUGAACAUGUGGAAGCUCGUGGGUUUAUGAAAUCACUCGUCUAGAGUAGCCAUGUCCGAUUUACUUUGAACUAGUCCAAUUUGCGGCAAUCUCGAGUCACGAAAUCCUAAGCACUCACUUACCUGUCUAGUAAGGGUGUGCAAAAUAUCCGAAAACCGCUCGGACUGCUCGGAACCAAACCGAAAUCGCCAAGUACCGGUGGUUCUUGAGGGAACCGGUCCAGUUCCUGGUUCCAAUUUAUGGGAACCGGUGGGUACCAGUCCAGUUCUUGGUUCCAUUGGCGGAUCCGCCCGCCCACCCACCCGGACCAGAUCGGAACCUUUUUAAUAUUUAAAAAAAAAAUUACUAAAAGAAACCCUAGAUCUCAUCUCACUCCCUUCAUCUUCGGCUCCUAAUCCUAUUGUCAUUUCGCUGCGUUUACUUCUCUCGCUGUUCGCAUCUCCACGUACUUAAAUUUGAUUUUUCUUUCUUUGGCUUGCUUUGAUGUCACGUAGUCCUUCUAUGUUGAAAAUCAAAAUUGUUUCGCGUCAAGAUCAGUUCCAUGGAUCCACUCGGGAAUCGGACCGCUCCGGUCAGGUUCCUGGAUGGAUCCAUGCAACAAACGAGUGGAUCCUGGUAUCAAUUUUUGGGAACCGGUUCUUAGCGAGUGGUUCCCAGUUCUAGAUCAGGAACCGCCCACCCAAACCAUGCACACCCCUACUGUCUGGUGUGCAAAGAAAAUAAUUCUCAAAUUCUCAUCGCCUACUCUCUGAGUCGAGAGUUGGGUGAAGAAAACCGGAACAAAAUAAUUCUCUUCACUACUCACAAAAAAAUAGAAUCAAACACCGAACUCAUUUCCAAUGACACCCCUUUCAUUUCCCCACUUCUCCCUCCUAGGCGCACAAUUUCUGUGCAUGCAAAUGAGUUUUGGUGUUUGAUUCGUGGCGGGGUAUAAUCUAGUGAGCAGCGGGCAGAAGUCAAGUCAAGGGACGAGAUAAAAAGGAGUUGCAAUACGCAACCCAAGGAGAAUUGUGGAAAAGUCUGGAUAUGUGAUUUUCCUCCUCCGAUCUCUGAUUUUUAUUUCAAAGCUAGUUGGUAUUGACACGUAGAAUAUAACUCUAAAGUGAUUCUGGACCUAUCUAUUCAACAGUGAAUGUAGAUAAUUACAAAAAAUAAAAAGGAUCCCCUUGUACGAAUGUCUAUUGAGUUAUAAACUAUUAAAAUUAGCCGAUUUAAUUUUAAACAUCUUGACGAUUUGUUAAUAUAGUCAUUUCAAUCAACUUUGACCGAAAAUCGUUGACGUAGACGCUAGCCAUCCUAUGGCACAUGACUAGUAUUGAGGUGGACAAUUUUUGUAAUUUAAAAAAAAAAAUUCUCAAUUUUUUUUUUUUUUUUCAUGUUUUCAUUUUCUUCAUUUUCUUUUCUUAUAUUUUCCUUUUUUCUUUUUCUUAUUCCCCUAUGCAGCCAUUGGCCGGUCCAUGGCUUCAAUGAUUGAUAGUAAGGGCCCAGAUGCCCUCGCCAACUGGCAAGGGCUGAUGGAUUUGCUAGGGCCACGUACUAAUGGAGGGAUAAAGGAAGGAAAAAAAAAGUUUUGAAAAAAUUGUAAAAAUUAUUCACAUUAGCAUCGGCACCUAGAUCUGGGCGAGGCCAAUCUCGUCAUGGCUUGGCCUAGAUCUGGGUGAAGCCGCCUCGCACACAGUCCUUAGGCCUCGCUCAUGGCCGACGAGACUUGUCAAAGAAGCAAAAGAAUAAAGAAGAGAAAAAAAUAAAAGGAAAAAUAAAAAUAUAUAUAUAUCAAAAAAAUUAUUAAAAAUUGCCACGUUAGCGUUGACCAAAUGGCCAGUGUCCACAUCAGCGCUAGCCAAUCAAAAUUGAUCGAAUAGAUUGAAUUGACAUAAUCACGAAAAGUUUAGAACUAAAUUGGCACAAUUAUAAUGGAUUUAUAACUUUUUUUUGGUAAUUCUACCAAUUUAUUUGUUAUCUCCAUCUUUAGAUUGCGACAUGUGUCCAUCCAAUUUUAGUCCUCACUGCACCUCAUCUAAAUACCAUCAAACCUUAGCAGCGAGGAUGGUACUUGGAGAUCUAUGCAAAUAUUUAUAUAUAAAAAUUACAUUGAGAUAGUAGAGUGUGCUCACCAUCAUCAUAUCAUCAUCCAUCAAGUCGAUUCCACAUAAUGAUCUAUUUGUCACUUUCAACAUCCUGGGACCGACCCAAAAAAACAUCCUAGGGAUUAAAUGUUUCAAUUAAUUACGGUAGGAUAGAAGUAUUUUUCAUCAAGAACGGACAUUCAAGAAGUCUUGCUAGAUUGAUAGAUUGAUGUUGCAAAUGGUUCUCUUCUCAAGUAGCAUGAAAAAUUAUGCUACUCAAAUGUAGAGCCUCCUUUUUUCUAUUUUUUCAGCAGAUCUUCCAAAUCAAAUUACAGGGUUACAACUUUGAAAACUCACAGUACAAGUACAAAAAAUACCAAAUCAAUCAUCUAUUGACUUCUCGAUGCUCAUUAAAUCUGAUUCACAAAAUAGGUUGGGACCCAUUUUGCUAGCCCUACUAAAAUCUAAACAUUUUAUUAAAUUAAGGAUUUAUACAGCAUCCUAGUUCACAAAGAUGUGUUGCUGUUGACAAAUCGACAUUGAUUGAUUUUCAUGAACUCGUCGUCAUAUUGUCGACAUUCCCAUUAUAUACGAGCAAAGAGCGAACUUUGAUUUUUGAGCAUCAAGAGAUAAGACAGACUUAAAUAGAAUGCCAAAUAGCCCAAGUGUCACGUCCAAACCCCAAACACUUUUUUUUUUAACCCCAAACACAUUCAACUAUUGUUUUUUUUUUUUUUUUCCUUAUAACUUUCUUCAAAUAAUAUAAGAAUGUACUUUAUGGUUAAUGAUCAUAUAUAUCGCGGUUUAUGAAAGACUGUGCCACAUCGAUAGUUUUAGAUGUUAGUCCAAAUUCGAAAUACCAGGCUGAUGUUCGAGAUUUUAUUGGCCAUUCGGCAUUUCAUUUAUUACUCAUGAAGUCUAUCAUUGCAUGAAAUUUACUGAAAAUUAGAGAAUCUCACAAUACCAACAAAACAUCAAGUUUAUUCAACUUUUUUACCCUUGAUACACUCCACAUGUAGCCCAAUUUACAAAAUUCCACAAAAACCACUGCUUAGCAAAGACGAACAACAGCACCCAUCGGCCCAACAUGCUUUGCUCCAAGCAUAGAGUGACUCGAACUCGUCUUGUCUCCUUUUCAGUUUACCACAACCAGACAUAUUUAAUACAGUACCGUGAACAAGACAAGAUAGCGAUGAGAUCGGCUCAAUAGGCAUCAGGGUUUGCCAAGAGAUAAGCCUCGAUGGCCUUGAACAUCGCGGACGCCUUCUCUUUCCCAGCCUUGAUCUUCUCCUCAGUUAUGUCCGCCUCGCCAAUGGUGAAGUACUUGCUCGUGCUCUUGCACACCGAGCCUCCCUCGGCCGAUGUGGUGAUCUUCACCCCGUAGCUGAUCUUCUCGAAGGUGGUGCCCAGUGCGUCGCCCUCGAUGAUCGAGUAGCUGUAGGUGAAGUUCUCCUUGUCCAGGGCCUCGACCUUGUGCUUCAUUGUCUUGUACUGACUGCCUAUCAAGGUAACAAAAAGUAAUAUUCACGUUUGGAACUCGCUGGUUUCAACAUCACGGGCAAUGAUCUUGAUGGUGUCAAUUGGGCCAUUUAGGAUGUUCCAACUGCAAUCUGAUACGAUUGACUUAGACAUGGCCUGAUUUCCCUCGAUUGGAGUCAAGUCACGUGAUCACUUGUGUAAAGUUAUUCCCAUUGACCGCGAGAUAUCCAAGAGCAAAGUCGCUGCAUAUAUCUUGCAGCAUUUCUCCGAUGAAGCUGUUGUUCGAAAAGGUAACGAUCCCCAGAGAAGGGCUGUACUUGCCGAAAUCACGUGUUAUGCCUCCCGAGAAAUUGUUCUUGAACAAUGAGAUGGACCAUAAGUUAGCAAGGCGAGAGAUGGUCUCACAAGAAAAUAUUGUGUACACAAGCGAUGCUACGUCAUGGCUUUUCCUUCCCAGCCUAGAUCUGCUCUUCUUCAACCUGAAGUGCCUUCUUGCUGUUGUCCUUGCUCGUCAUCCUGCAGACUGACCCUCCGUCGCUGGUGGCCUCAAACUUGACCUCGUAAUCGAUCGACUGGAGCUUGUCACCCAGCGUGUCGCCCUCGAUCAUCAUGUUCCUACACAUGAAGUUCUACUUGUCGAGCUCAUCGAUCUGGUGCUCACAUGAAGUUCUACUCGUUGAGCUCAUCGAUCUGGUGCUUCACAUACUUGAAAUGACUAGCUGCAAUUACAUUAUGAAACUCCCUGCUCGAUGAGUGUUGAGUGUCCAUGCCUUCGGUGAAAUUUAACUUGCUCAAUGCUCCCGGCUCCACCGUCGCCUUGCACCAGCUCCACGCUCUUUAUGAACUGAGGCAGGAGCUUCGGGAUCAGGGUAUUUGACUCGACAAUCAAGGCCUUAAGAAUGCGAGCCAGAGCAAUCGGGCAUGUGAGCUCUUGUGUGAAGCUGGUUGCACCCAUGGCUAUUGGCAAUGAGAAAGAAAUAACCCCAGAGAAGAGUGCUUCUGAGUCCUGUCAAUGCCUCCUAAUUACGGUUGGAAUUAUGUCAAUAGGUAGGGUUGGUUUGGCAAGAGUCACGCUCGAGGAAAAAAGGAGAGUCAAGGAUUUGCAGCCUAAAGGAAUGGAAAAGAGGAAUAAAGGUGGUCUCUUUUGUUCUUUUGGUCAUGAAAAUGAUUUCGGUCCCUUUCGGAUUCAUGUUGAAAUGUCAAAGUUUAUGUUCCAAAAGAUGAACAUUCUAGUGCUCACAUGGGCGGCCAUCCCUUUGAAAUGAUUGUUGUGGAGUUCGAUCUAACAAUUUGCCGAUUAAAUAUUAUAACGAAAAUGUCCUUGUUUGAAGAAAAGUGUAUUAAUCAAAUUCUGUCUCAUUUAAUAUGUAGCAAACGAGAAUACUUUAUUAGUUGGUGAUAUCACGUUAACUUGUCGCGCAAUAUAAACAUCACAUAAUAUAUUUCUUCAUUUGUAAUGCCCUAAUGUCACGGUGGAUCUAAUUCAAAUGUAUGAAGUAAGGCCUUUUGAAAUCAUUUUCGUAACUUAGGGUUGAUUCAAACUUCACUAGCACCGACAGUUUGACUCAGUCAAAAUUGGGUCGGCAAUCGGGGUGUCCCAAGAUCAGCUCGUCGUCUAAGUUUUGGGGGAGGUGGAGGCUGCGGCUUUUCCGUUAUAUUUUGCUUCUCUUUCUCUUUUUUAUCAUUAUCAGUGUUGAAGCAUUUGAUCUCUAAUCCAAUGUCCCCAUCAAAGAUGUCCCCAUCAAAGAGGUAAGAUAGGAUUAGCUUAAAUAGAAUUUCAAAUAGCCCAAGCGUUACAAUAAGAUAAGUCCAAAACCUGAACACUUUAACUUUAUUUUUCGAUAGCGUUCUUGACAUAUAAUAAGAAUGUGCUUUUCUUUAAUGAUCAUAUGCAUAACAAUCUCUGAAAGAUUCUACCACAUCCAUAGUUUUAAGUGUUAAUCCAAAUUCAAAACAUAAGUUUGGAUUUAUUCAUUUGUUACUCAUGAAUUCUAUUCUUUUAUGAAAUUUAUUGAAAAUUAGAGAAUCUCAUGAUACCAACAAAAUAUCAAGCUUAUUCAACUUUUAUUCCCUUGAUACGCUAUUUAUGUAGCACAAUUUACAAAAUUCCACAAAAACCACUUCACCAGAUUCCUGCCACACCUUUCAUUCUCUUAUUCUCAGCAAAUACAAGAACAGCUACGCUCACCAGCCCCCACAAACUUUACUCCAAACACAAGAGUGACCCAAACUCUUCUUCUCUCCUUGUGAAUUUAGCACAACCAGACAUAUUUCACACAGUACAGUGAACAAUCCAAGAUAGCGAUGAGAUCUACUCAACAGGCAUCAGGGUUUGCCAAGAGAUGAGCCUCGAUGGCCUUGAACAUCUCGGACGCCUUCUCUUUCCCGGCCUUGAUCUUCUCCUCAGUGAUCUCCACCUCGCCGAUGGUGAAGUACUUGCUCGUGUUCUUGCACACCGAGCCUCCCUCGGGCGAUGCGGUGAUCUUCACCUCGUUGCUGAUCUUCUCGAAGCUGGUGCCCAGCAUGUCGCCCUCGAUGAUCGAGUAGCAGUAGGUGAAGUUCUCCUUAUCCAGGGCCUCGACUUUUUGCUUCAUUGUCUUGUACUGACUGCCUAUCAAAGUAAGAAAAAAUAAUAUUCACGUUUAGAACUCGCCAGUUUCAACAUCACGAGCAACGAUCUCGAUGGUGUCGAUCGGGCCUUUUAGGUUGUUCCAACUGCAAUCUGAUACGAUUGACUUAGUAGACAUGGCCUGAUUUCCCUCGAUUGGAGUCAAGUCACGUGAUCACUUGUGUAAAUCAAUGGUUAGAAACAUCUUUAAUUGAUCAAGUUACAUAUCUAUCCUUUUUAAUGUUCAUUAUGAUGUUCCAUAAGGUUGAAACAGCCUUGAUCCAGAGCGAUCCUAACACGGACGGACUAACCUUCGCCGAAAGUGAUCAACUUGACGGUCCCGGGACCUCCGUCGCCCUCGAGGACUUCGACGCUCUUGAUAGCUUGCGGGAGCACCUUCAGGAUGAGGUUAUCGGCGUCGAGGACAGCGGCCUUGAACAUCUUGGCCGGAGGGAUUGGGGUCGUGAUCUCGCAGUCGUAACUGACGACACCCAUGAUUUGGAUCCGAAUGGAGUUGCCGAAAUAGAGAAGAGAGUGAUCAGGAAAGGCUGACUAGCAGUGAUGAAGUUGGUCUCUAGGACUUGGGAGUGAGGAGAAGAGGAUGAACCGAA